GUCUCACUGGCAAAUGGUCGACUAUUUUUUCCCUUCGGCCAGCAGGUGUUCAGUGCCAACAUCUGGCUGCUGUAAAGAGCUAACUGUGAAGCUAACUUCAUUCUUUUUUUCUUACCCGUGCUAUGUUACUUGUUCUUUCUAACAUCGGUGGCCAAGUACAGCCGUAGCUUUAGGAGAGUGCAACCAAGGCACAAAGGUGCGAAUUGUACAAAUAGGAGUAGGGAAAGGGUAGAAGCAAAGAAUAUGUUCCUGGCAUGGUAGUAAAUAUGAGAUGUAAACGCACUCGUAGUGCAGUUAAUCGUAUUUUUUGUAGCUAGGGUGUCAUAGUUUUGAUGAUCGGUUCGGUUGUAUGGCUACUCUUAUCAGCCACGCUGGAGGUGCUGCCGUUUUUUUGUUCCACGUGCAUGAUAACAAGAUGGAAGACCCUUCUGGAAUCAUAUGACCUUUUGUUACAUGAUAUGAUAGCCUGAUCUGUCUAAAAUGGCUGAGUUUCUUUCUAGCUUUGUUGACGACCCUUUGUUGGACGGAGUUUCUUGUUUGUGAUUGCCAGUCACUCGUGCGGUUGAAAAUGCCAGGAAGGCUUGUCGCUCUCUUCAAGCAGACAUAUUUUUGUGUGUCAUAGGAAGAAGACAGUUUACAGCUGCAUGCGAAGAAGUUGUCUGGAAAAUAACAACUUCUUUGUCAGGGGUUCAUGGCCCUAUUAUGCUUGUCUCCGCGAGUGGCGGUCACAAGAGGACAAUGGCUUUGGGUGAAACAAGCAGCUGGCUGUGAUUCCUUGUCCCGUACUGUAUCAGCCCCAAGACCAUGGCAUUCCCUGUCCCAUGCAUUAUCACGUGCUCUACUCCAUCGAAAUGUUCGCCCUCAUCAUCCAGGGCUGACAAAGAAAUUAUUUUUUUUGCUCACCGUAAUAAGUCACCAGGCAACCGUUUUUUUGUCUUUGGUCGCAGUGCAUUCUCAUUGUCGCCCUGACCCUAGAAAUCACGGGAGGUAUCAGGUAUCUCAUCCCAUCUUGCCAAUUGCCAAAUGCCAACCCCUAAAGACAUGUAAAGACUUGAGUAUCAUAGCUCUCAUAGUCUUGUUGCAUGUGCAAAGCUCGUUGCCGUCUCUAAGCUUGCAACCUUAUUGAAACCCAAGAGCUUCUAGAGAAAAAUUGUCGAUGUAGCAUAUCACCACCCUGAAAAAGAACUCGUUGAAGAAGGCCUGUAGAACACCCGAGGUACAAAAAAUUCACACGUUCCUCGACUAGGCCAGAGGCUAGGCAACCUUCGCCGUCAGUCGAAACUGGAGCGCACAGAAGGAAAAACCAAACCCGGAAAAUGAUCUAAAGACACAUGAUUUUCCACACUAAAGUUUUAACAGGAUACACACAUCAAACUUGGAAGUCAUUACACUUGAUUUAAUCGGCGACGACUCUUCUCAACCUCAGCUUUCAAGUCCUCCAACCUCUUCUGGCCCUCUUUUGACUUUUUGCCGCUAGAAAUUGCGUAGGGUACCACUGUUCCCAUUCCAAAAACGAAAGCCACCGUCAUAUAGACAUGGCCGAUAGGUUCGAAGUCAACAGUUGGCAGCUUAUUCCAAAUGGAAUAACAGCGGUGUCCCUGCAGCAUGAACCACGGUCACUACAUGGACCAUAAAGUACAGUUUUGCAGCAACAAAACAAAUCAUAAAAACACGUGAUCAACCUGGGAAGUAAUAACAUCCGCAGUUGCACACUUGCAUUGCAUUUGCAUGGCACCAAUAAAAGAACAACAUCAAUAAUUUGUAACGUAUCUAUUAGUAGUUGCUACAUGGGGUACACAAGAAGAAGUCUAAAACCUGAAAUUUGCCUAAUACCUUUCCGAAACAUGUAUACCUAUCUUAUUUAAAGCGUUCGUUAAGUAAUAUGAAUCCUAGAGUUUUGGCAGAAUACUAGUGAAUUUGUCAAAAUGGACGUGGAACAUCUGCAUAACUCCCUGGAAUACUAGUGAAUUCGUCAAAAUGGACGUGGAACAUGUUAUGACUACCUACAAUUUUUUUUACUAGCUUAAGGUCAGAAAAUAUACCAACCUAUAUCUGUUGUUGCUAGGCCUAGAACAUACAAUCUUAAUCUGAGACUUAGACAUUAAGGGAGGCUGACGCGGAAGCGUCAGACACUCUAGCAUAGAAUCCUCUAUCAUACGGUUAUGGCUCAUCUCAUGCUUCCUGUUAUGUCCAAGAUUCUUACAACCUUCGAUGCUGUGCCUAGACAAGGACAAUUUGCUAAUCUGAUAGCACCAACGAAAUCAUCCAGGGAGGAUGACGAUGAAACCCCGGCACAAAAUCCUUCAUUGACGCAUCCUUUGAGUAGAUCGACCGAGAGAGUAUUGUGCGAACCGUGAAGCUGGAGAGAAGCCGCUUGCCCAGGGUGUCCGCAGUUGGGUUUCCUUGUGCUCGAAGAACAGUCUGGGAGACGGCGGCUACCCGUGCCAACACCGAACACACAAUUGCCAUCGCCAUCUCCUAGCCGAUGCCUGGCGGCGCGAUGGGGGGCUGCCGCCCGUGUCGCCUAGGUUACGCGACGCUGGGGCCGAGCCGGAAUGGCGGCGGUAUACUGUCUCACACUACUUAAGUUUAACAGGAUAUAUAGUUUUUUUUCCAUUUAACAAAUACGUUCAGCCUUACUUAGCACAAAAAAACAGGAUAUAUAGAUCAAGCUUGAAAGGCAUCACACUUCAUUUAACAAAUACAACAAUAUUGCCAUAUGUUAUCUUCAUCAAUGACUCUUCUGACGAUCAGCCUCGUAAGCCCUCCAUUCAGCCUUCCAGUCCUCCAACUCCUUGGCGCUCUCUUUUGCCCUUUUGAUGCUAUAAAUUGUGUAGGGUAUCAUUGUUCCCAUAAAAAAAGUGAAAGCGAACAGCAUCGGAAUAGGACCGACAGGAUAAAAAAUCUCAGAAGAAUGCAGCUUAUCCAAAAUGGAAUAAAAGUCGCGUCCCUGCAGCAUGAACCACAUUCACUACAUGAAUAUUAUAGAACAUAUAUAAAAGCAAAAGGUACAAUUUCAUAGCAAUAAAACAAAGUAUAAAAAUACGUGAUCAACCUAGGAAGUAAUACAUCCACAGUUGUGUUGCAUGUCACCAAUGAAAGAACAACAUCAAUAAUACCAUAGAUUAAAUCCUACUCCCUCUGUUCGUAAAUAUAAGACUUUUUACAGAUUCCAAUAUGGACUACAUACGGAGCAAAAUGAGUAUGAUCCAAGUAUUGUUGGGCAGUAACAAUAAUAACUGCCCAAGUAUUGUUGAUUAGUAAGGUUGUCCAACCGCAGUAGCCAAGGAGGCCCAGCCCGUAUGAUCCAAGACUGAUAUAAACAGAGGUGAAAGGAUCCAAAGUUGGAAGCUUGCAAACUGGGCUAUUAUUAUAACUGUAUAUAUGAUUUUGGUUUUGUGUACACUUGAUGAGAAGAAAUCCGCCAGAGAUCAAUACUUGAAUAGGUACUACCAUUCAAGGAGCAUCUUGGUGGUGCCCAUGGAGGUACACACGAAUUAAAUUAGAAAUGCAAGAAAGUCCUCAUACUUUGAAUGCCAACAAGUAUACAUGUUCAAAUCGUAGAAGUGAAAUUUAUGUAACGGAAGGAGCAUGGGGUCUCACCAUCCAUUUUAAGCACAAUAAUUAUUUUAUGUCAAAGAGAAAGACUAAUCUUUUAGUAGUUGAUGUAAAGAUCUCUAAAACCUGAACUUUGCCUGAUACCUCCCCGAAACAUGUGUACCUAUCUUAUUUGAAGCAUUCGUUAAGUUUGAAACAUCUGCAUAUCUCCCUUGAAUUUGUUAAAAUGGACGUAUAACAUGGAGUAUUACCUAAUAAUAAUAAAGUUACUUGAGGUUCCCAAAGGAAAAAACAGCUUGAUGUCAAAAGAUGUUCCAACCUAUAUACCUGUCGCUAGGCAAAGAAUCGUACAAUCUGAAUCUUAGAUAUAGCAACCUAUAUACUUGAGGUUCAUCUCAUGUUUCGUGCUAUGCCCACGAAUUCUUGCAACCAUUUAUGUGGUGCUGUAGACAAGGCGUUUUGCUAAUCUGAUAGCACCAACGACUGGAAAUCAUCCAGGGAGGAUGACGAUCAAACCCUAGCACAAAAUUUUCCAUUGACGGUUCCUACUAUGGGUAGAUCGUCCAACAGAGUAUGGUGCGAACCUUGAAGCCGGAGAGGAACCGCUUGCCCAGGGUGUCCGCGGUUAGGUUUCCCUCUGCCCGAAGAAGCGGCUGGUAGACGGGGUGGCCGCCACGGGCCACCCGCGCCAACACCGAACGCGCCUCCUGCUCCGCCAUGUCAACGUCUGGCGUGACCGCCCUACUGGCGAGCUGCUCCUCCGCCUGCAGAUGCUUCUGGAGGAGGUGGUGGUUGUAGGCGGCGUCGGCCUGCGCCUCCCAGAAUUACUCCUCCCGCUCCUCCCGUAGCAUGUCCAGUUAAUGGGCACGGGCCCCACCGAUGGUCAAGGUGCAGUGCACUGGCGAGGGUGGCACGGAGGAGGAGGAGGGCCGCACGGAGGAGGAGGAUGGUGCGCCGACUCGUCGGCGGCGGCCGCAUCCUCCAUUGGGACGUUGUCAUCCUCCGGUUGCCGGUCGGCCAUCCAGCCGGCAACAAUGGCGGCCAUCUCCUUCUUCUGUUCCGGCGUCAGCCCGUCCUAGAGAGAUUUGGCGGGGGAACAAUCCAUGGUGGGAGUGGUGUGGAGAGGGAUCGGAGGCGGAUGACUAUGGCUAUGGCCUGGGGCAAUGGUUUAUCUAGCAAUGGCAGGCGGCAAGGGACGGACGGGUGGCGCCAGAGGAGACGCCUCGGCAACUGUGUGCCAUCAAUGUGGGAGGAAGGCGGACGGACGAGUGGCCGUUGUGUCGUUUGAACGUGCGGCAGUCGCCUGCACCGGUAAGCGGCGCGGGCGGUGCUCUCUCGGCCGGCGUGCCGCUUCAAUGCCGACGCUAGUGAGCUGUCGCGUCCGCUCUGGCCGGGCAUGAAUGCGGUCGCUGACGCUCUAGAGCGGCAUUGACCGGAUACGCGUGGGAGAAAUCGCGUCCGGACCGUUCUACGGACCGAUACAGAACCGCGGUGGAUGAAUUUCUCGGUCUCAAAGGUUGCGGAAGGUUUAACUCUCCGUGUUGGAGAUGCUCUUAUCAAUGAGGUAAUAGCACCACAUGUCCUUGAACUUGUCUAGGAUGUGAUGAUUUGGUCCUCAAACUUAUAAAAGUCAACUAUUUGGUCCUAAAACUUAUCACUCAUGUCUUAUCAACGAGGUAAUAGCGCCAGUUGCCUUUUACAAGUUUGAAGACCAAAUCAUCACAUUCUAGACAAGUUCAAGGACUUACUGGUGCUAUUACCUCCUUAUCAAUAGUCCACAGUGCAAUCUCUGCAUUCGUUGAGGCAAAAGCUGUACCGUGCAAUAAUUCAUUGAAGCAGUGCAUACUUUCCUGCUCUUGCAAUACCUCAUGGGCUCAUCGCAUGUAUAGAAUGGGCCAUCAUGGCUAGGGUGAUUUUCCUUGCUUAUGCAUGGGAUUCAACUGUCAAUGGCGAUGGCAUGAUGAGACUAAUUCAACCCUGUCCAAAGUGGCAGGCAAAAUGAGUACUCGAAAUUAGGCGAUUCAUAUGCCACCACGGCUUUUCCAAAGUUGGUUAUUGUUUUUGCCUCUUCCCUUGCGAUGAUUAUGAUCAUAGAACUUUUGACGUUCUCAGCGAGUUAAAUAUGCUCUUGCUUAAGAUGUUCUCAGGUCUUUUGCUGGAUGCCCCACUGACAUGUGGGUUCUAUGACCACACAGGCCACCUGUCAGUGAGACGUGAAUGCCAAAUAUCAAAUCAUUAUUCCGUCGAGCGGCAAAUGCCUGAACUUCUUAUUUUGCACGGCUUUCUAGACUGGUUAUGAGGUCCUGGGUCCCAAAUUUUUUUCUUGAUUACUAUUCAGACACAUACAGCGCAUAAUGGUUUCGGUAAUUAUCUUUGUAAGUCUGAAGUUACAUCAAUUUAGCCUAGUUUCACAUAGUUUUUGAUACAUUUUACAUAUAUUUAAGCUAAAUCCAGCUUUUGUUCUUGUCUCUUCUCAUUUUCCGUUUAUGCUCCGCCACUGCUUGCAUCCUCUCUUUUUUUGGUUCAGCUUGCAUCCUCCUAAACCACAGAUAUUCUUCACUCAUUUUCCAUCUGGUUAUGUCUGUGGAUCUUUACAAAGCCCAUAUAGAGAGAGCUAGUCAGUGGCUGCAAGGAGGACAACAACAGCAAAGGACAAACACGCACACCAACCCGAGAAAGGCAUUAACUCAAGACCAAUUUAGUAGUUGAGGCGUCAGAGAUCUCCGGGGUCAAGGAUCAUGGCAUAUGCUGCUCAAUGCGCUCGUAAGUCCUAUUAAACUAAGCUGAUGGAAUCUUCAACAAGAUGAUCAUAUGAGCUUAAGUAGUUCUUCAAUAGAGGUGGCUAACUGCUUGUCAGAGCAUGGUGUACCAUGCCACUGAUGUUGUCGAAUUUGUCGUGUUUUUGGAACUGAAAUUCAGCAUGUCGCUCCAUCAGGAGUGGUUUUGCUGAUCUUCAUUUAAGUUUGUUCUUUGGUGAUGUCUGCUAAUGGUAGAAAGAGAAAGUUUGACGUAUAAGGUUGCUAAAUAACGGUUUGAAUUUAAACCCUUAGGUCAAUUUUGUGUGCUCACCACUGAUAUACGUGAGUUCAACAGCAGUUCACUUUUACAAUCCCUAAGGAUGAGACCCUUGCGUUCAUCCGAAAUCUGUUAAUGAUCUUUUAGAUUUAGAAGCAGAGCGGGCUUCUAAAAUAAUUCGGAACCUCGCAUCAGUUAAACCUAUGAAUGACGAUGACAUGAACAAUUUAGGAAUUGUAGCCCUUGAAAACAUUUGCAAUAAUCUCUUGCCUAGUGAGGAGGCCGAAGAUGAGGAGGGGACGGAGACUACGGACACUGUAGAGCCUCUAAUGAUGGAGGGCACUGUCUCAUGUUCUGCCGAUCCUACGUUCCCGAAGGGUGAUGGGGAGAAGCCCAAGCGAUCCUGGAAACGGAAAAUUUAUCCUACUUCGGCGGUUCGUAGAAGUGCUAGGGUUAAGCUUAAGAAAAAAAAUCCAUGAUGACUUAUAAAAGGAAUCUUUUGGAAUAGCAGAGGUCUAGCUGACUUGGCUAAACGUAGGUUCUUGGCGGAGACAACGAUAGAGCAACAUUUAGAUUUUAUUGCACUUUUGGAAACACGACGAGAUAAAUUUACCUCACAGUUCCUUGGAACUCUAUCCAGAGGAAUUGAUUUUGAUUGGCAUGUCUUACCUCCUAAAGGAAGAUCUGGUGGGAUAUUACUAGGGGUUCGGUGUGAAACACUUGAGGUGCUUAACGUGGUUCAGGGUGAUUUUGCGGUCAAGUUUCGGGUGAGAUCAAAAUUGUAUGGUUUCCGAUGGUCUCUUGUGGCUGUAUAUGGGGCCGCACAACUUGAACUUAAACCAGAUUUUUUAGCCGACCUAGUGCGAAUAUGUGGAGAUGAAACUUUGCCAAUCCUAGUCGGUGGGGACUUUAAUAUAAUUCGGAGGAGAGAUGAAAAGAACAAUGACAAUUUUGAUGCACGUUGGUCUAUGAUGUUUAACAUGAUUAUCGAGAGUCUUAAUUUGAGAGAAAUUGAGCUCACCGAUAGACAAUUUACGUGGGCCAAUUUGUUACCCACUCCGAUUUAUGAGAAGUUGGAUAGGGUACUCGCUAGUGUGGAAUGAGAACAAAAGUACCCAUUGGUGUCGGUUCAUGCGAUGUAGAGAGCGAUCUCAGACCACACACCACUUCUUGUAGACUCGGGAGAGGCUACACACGUUGCAAACAAGAAUGCUUUCUCUUUCGAGCUAGGUUGGUUCGAGAAAGAAACCUUUUUGGAGGUCAUUGCACGCGAAUGGGCAAAGCCUGUUAGUGGAAGAACUAGUAUUGGGAGAUGGCAAAAUAAGAUCAGACAUCUAAGAUAGUUUUUGCGAGGUUGGGCCAAAAACAAGAGUGGGAUUUAUAAACAAGAAAAAGAACGGCUUACUCAAUUAAUUGAAGCACUAGAUUUAAAAGCUGAAAGGAAUCUCCUUACAGUUAAUGAGAAAAACUCCAAAUCCGAAGCUAAGCAAGGCUUACGAGCUCUUGUUAGAGAAGAUGAGCUCAAGUGGGCACUGCGUGCUAAAGUGCUUAAGGUUGUUCAAGGGGAUGACAAUACACAAUUCUUCCAUAUGAUUGCGAAUGAUAAACAUAGGAAAAAGAAAAUCAUACAACUCGAACAGGACGAGGGGACAAUUGUGGGGCAUGAGAAUUUGAAAGCUUAUAUUUCUAAUUACUACAAACAACUUUUUGGGCAUCCGGAAGCAAGCACUGAAGGAAAUAUGCCCUAGAGGCAAUAAUAAAGUUAUUAUUUAUUUCCUUAUAUCAUGAUAAAUGUUUAUUAUUUAUGCUAGAAUUGUAUUAACCAGAAACAUAAUACAUGUGUGAAUACAUAGACAAACAGAGUGUCACUAUUAUGCCUCUACUUGACUAGCUCGUUAAUCGAAGAUGGUUAUGUUUCCUAACCAUGAACAAAAGAGUUGUUAUUUGAUUAACGGGAUCAGAUCAUUAGAAGAAUGAUGUGAUUGACAUGACCCAUUCCAUUAGCUUAGCACCCGAUCGUUUAGUAUGUUGUUAUUGCUUUCUUCAUGACUUAUACGUGUUCCUAUGACUAUGAGAUUAUGCAACUCCCGUUUGCCGGAGGAACACUUUGUGUGCUACCAAACGUCACAACAUAACUGGGUGAUUAUAAAGGAGCUCUACAGGUGUCUCCAAAGGUACAUGUUGAGUUGGCGUAUUUCGAGAUUAGGAUUUGUCACUCCGAUUGUCGGAGAGGUAUCUCUGGGCCCUCUCGGUAAUGCACAUCACAUAAGCCUUGCAAGCAUUGCAACUAAUGAGUUAGUUGCGAGAUGAUGUAUUACUAAACGAGUAAAGAGACUUGCCGAUAACGAGAUUGAACUAGGUAUUGAGAUACCGACGAUCGAAUCUCGAGCAAGUAACAUACCGAUGACAAAGGGAACAACGUAUGUUGUUAUGCGGUCUGACCGAUAAAGAUCUUCGUAGAAUAUGUAGGAGCCAAUAUGAGCAUCCAGGUUCCGCUAUUGGUUAUUGACCGGAGACGUGUCUCGGUCAUGUCUACAUUGUUCUCAAACCCGUAGGGUCUGCACGCUUAAGGUUUCGAUGACAGUUAUAUUAUGAGUUUAUGCAUUUUGAUGUACCGAAGUUUGUUCGGAGUCCCGGAUGUGAUCACGGACAUGACGAAGAGUUUCUAAAUGGUCGAGACAUAAAGAUUGAUAUAUUGGAAGCCUAUAUUUGGAUAUCGGAAGUGUUCCGGGUGAAAUCGGGAUUUUACCGGAGUACCGGGAGGUUACCGGAACCCCCCGGGAGGUAUAUGGGCCUUAGUGGGCUUUAGUGGAAGAGAGGAGAGGUGGCCAGGGCUGGGCCGUGCGCCCCUCCCCCCUAGUCCGAAUAGGACAAGGAGAGGGGGGCGAUGCCCCCCUUCCUUCUCUCUCUCCUCUUUCCCCCUCCCGAAUCCUAUUCCAACUAGGAAAGGGGGGAAUCCUACUCCCGGUGGGAGUAGGACUCCUCCUGGCGCGCCCUCCUCCUGCCCGGCCGCACCCCCCUUGAUCCUUUAUAUACGGGGGCAGGGGGCACCCCUACACACACAAGUUGAUCCACAUGAUCAUAUUCUUAGCCGUGUGCGGUGCCCCCUUCCACCAUAAUCCUCGAUAAUAUUGUAGCGGUGCUUAGGCGAAGCCCUGCGACGGUAGUACAUCAAGAUCGUCGCCAUGCCGUCGUGCUGACGGAAAUCUUCCCCGACACUUUGCUGGAUCGGAGUCCAGGGAUCGUCAUCGAGCUGAACGUGUGCUAGAACUCGGAGGUGCUGUAGUUUCGGUGCUUGAUCGAUCGGGCCGUGAAGACGUACGACUACAUCAACCGCAUUGUGCUAACGCUUCCGCUGUCGGUCUACAAGGGUACGUAGAUCACACUCUCCCCUCUCGUUGCUAUGCAUCACCAUGAUCUUGCGUGUGCGUAGGAUUUUUUUUGAAAUUACUACGUUCCCCAACAGUGGCAUCCGAGCCUAGGUUUUAUGUGUUGAUGUUAUAUGCACGAGUAGAACACAAGUGAGUUGUGGGCGAUAUAAGUCAUACUCCUUACCAGCAUGUCAUACUUUGGUUCGGCGGUAUUGUUGGACGAAGCGGCCCGGACCGACAUUACGCGUACGCUUACGCGAGACCGGUUCUCCCGACGUGCUUUGCACAAAGGUGGCUAGCGGGUGACAGUUUCUCCAACUUUAGUUGAACCAAGUAUGGAUAUGCCCAGUCCUUGCGAAGGUUAAAACAACACCAACUUGACAAACUAUCGUUGUGGUUUUGAUGCGUAGGUAAGAUUGGUUCUUGCUUAAGCCCGUAGCAGCCACAUAAAACUUGCAACAACAAAGUAGAGGACGUCUAACUUGUUUUUGCAGGGCAUGUUGUGAUGUGAUAUGGUCAAGACAUGAUGCUAAAUUUUAUUGUAUGAGAUGAUCAUGUUUUGUAAUCGAGUUAUCGGCAACUGGCAGGAGCCAUAUGGUUGUCGCUUUAUUGUAUGCAAUGCAAUUGCGCUGUAAUGCUUUACUUUAUCACUAAGCGGUAGCGAUAGUCGUGGAAGCAUAAGAUUGGCGAGAUGACAAUGAUGCUAUGAUGGUGAUCAAGGUGUCGCGCCGGUGACGAUGGUGAUCACGAUGGUGCUUCGAAGAUGGAGAUCACAAGCACAAGAUGAUGAUGGCCAUAUCAUAUCACUUAUAUUGAUUGCAUGUGAUGUUUAUCUUUUAUGCAUCUUAUCUUGCUUUGAUUGACGGUAGCAUUUUAAGAUGAUCUCUCACUAAUUAUCAAGAAGUGUUCUCCCUGAGUAUGCACCGUUGCGAAAGUUCUUCGUGUUGAGACACCACGUGAUGAUCGGGUGUGAUAGGCUCUACGUUCAAAUACAACGGGUGCAAAACAGUUGCACACGCGGAAUACUUAGGUUAUACUUGACGAGCCAAGCAUAUACAAAUAUGGCCUCGGAACACGGAGACCGAAAGGUCGAGCGUGAAUCAUAUAGUAGAUAUGAUCAACAUAGUGAUGUUCACCAAUGAAACUGCUGCAUCUCACGUGAUGAUCGGACAUGGUUUAGUUGAUUUGGAUCACGUGAUCACUUAGAGGAUUAGAGGGAUGUCUAUCUAAGUGGGAGUUCUUAAGUAAUAUGAUUAAUUGAACUUAAAUUUAUCAUGAACUUAGUCCUGGUAGUAUUUUGCAAAUUGUGUUGAAAGAUGUUAGUAGCAAUGAUGCGGAUUGGAUCCGUGAUCUGAGGUUUAUCCUCAUUGCUGCACAGAAGAAUUAUGUCCUUGAUGCACCGCUAGGUGACAGACCUAUUACAGGAGAAGAUGUAGACGUUAUGAACGUUUGGCUAGCUCAAUAUGAUGACUACUUGAUAUUUUAGUGCACCAUGCUUAAUGGCUUAGAAUCGGGACUUCAAAGACGUUUUGAACGUCAUGGACCAUAUGAGAUGUUCCAGGAGUUAAAGUUAAUAUUUCAAGCAAAUACCCGAAUUGAGAGAUAUGAAGUCUCCAACAAGUUCUAUAGCUAAAAGAUGGAGGAGAAUCGCUCAACUAGUGAGCAUGUGCUCAGAUUGUCUGGGUACUACAAUCGCUUGAAUCAAGUGGGAGUUAAUCUUCCAGAUAAGAUAGUUAUUGACAGAAUUCUCUAGUCACCAUCACCAAGUUAGUAGAACUUCGUGAUGAACUAUAAUAUGCAAGGGAUAAUGGAAACAACUCCCAAAGCUCUUCGUGAUGCUGAAAUCAACGAAGGUAGAAAUCAAGAAAAAACAUCAAGUGUUGAUGGUUGACAAGACCACUAGUUUCAAGAAAAGGGCAAAGGGAAGAAGGGGAACUUCAAGAAGCGGAAAGCAAGUUGCUGCUCAAGUGAAGAAGCCCAAGUCUGAUCCUAAGCCUGAGACUAAGUACUUCUACUGCAAAGGGACUGGUCACUGGAAGUGGAACUGCCCCAAGCAUUUGGCGGAUAAGAAGGAUGGCAAGGUAAACAAAGGUAUAUUGGAUAUACGUGUUAUUGAUGUGUACUUUACUAGUGUUUAUAGCAACCCCUCGGCAUUCAAUACUGGUUCAGUUGCUAAGAGUAGUAACUCAAAACGGGAGUUGCAGAAUAAACAGAAACUAGUAAAGGGUGAGGUGAUGAUGUGUGUUGGAAGUAGUUCCAAGAUUGAUAUGAUCAUCAUCGCACACUCCCUACACUUUCGGGAUUAGUGUUGAAACUAAAUAAGUGUUAUUUGGUGUUUGCGUUGAGCAUGAAUAUGAUUUGAUCAUGUUUAUUGCAAUACGUUAUUCAUUAAAGUCAGAGAAUAAUUGUUGUUCUGUUUACAUGAAUAAAACCUUUGAUGGUCAUACACCCAAUGGAAAUAGUUCGUUGGAUCUCGAUCGUAGUGUUACACAUAUUGAUAAUAUUGAAGCCAAAAGAUGCAAAGUUAAUAAUGAUAGUGCAACUUAUUUGUGGCAUUGCCAUCUAGGUCAUAUCGGUGUAAAGCGCAUGAAGAAACUCCAUACUGAUGAACUUUUGGAACCACUUGAUUAUGAAUCACUUGGUACUUGCAAACCAUGCCUCAUGGGCAAGAUGACUAAGACUCCGUUCUCUGGAACAAUGGAGCAAACAACAAACUUGAUUGGAAAUAAUACAUAUUGAUGUAUGCAGUCCAAUAAGUGUUGAGGCUCGCGGCGGGUAUCGUUAUUUUCUGACCUUCACAGAUGAUUUGAGCAGAUAUGAGUAUAUCUACUUGAUGAAACAUAAGUCUGAAACAUUUGAAAAGUUCAAAUAAUUUCAGGGUGAAGUGGAAAAUCAUCGUGACAAGAAAAUAAGGUUUCUACGAUCUGAUCUCAGAGACAAAUAUUUGAGUUAUGAGUUUGGUCUUCAAUUAAAACAUUGUGGAAUAGUUUCACAAACUCAUGCCACCUGGAACACCACAGCAUAAUGAUGUGGCCGAUCAUCAUAACCGUACUUUAUUGGAUAUAGUGCAAUCUAUGAUGUCUCUUACCGAUCUACCACUAUCGUUUUGGGGUUAUGCAUUAGAGACAACUGCAUUCACGUUAAAAAGGGCACCAUCUAAAUCCGUUGAGACGACACAAUCUGAAUUAUGGUUUGACAAGAAACCAAACUUGUCGUUUCUUAAAGUUUUGGGCUGUGAUGCUUAUGUGAAAAAAUUUCAUCCUGAUAAGCUCAAACCCAAAUCAGAGAAAUAUGUCUUCAUAGGGUACCCAAAGGAGACUGUUGGGUACACCUUCUAUCACAGAUCAGAAGGCAAGACAUUCGUUGCUAAGAAUGGAUCCUUUCUAGAGAAGGAGUUUCUCUCGAAAGAAGUGAGUGGGAGGAAAGUAGAAAACUUGAUAAGGUAAUUGUACCUUCUCCCUUAUUGGAAAGUAGUUCAUCACAAAAAUCUGUUCUUGUGACUACUACACCAAUUAGUGAGAAAGCUAAUGAUGAUGAUCAUGUAACUUCAGAUCAAGUUACUACCGAAUCUCGUAGGUAAACCAGAGUGAGAUCCGCACCAGAGUGGUACGGUAAUCCUGUUCUGGAAGUCAUGUUACUAGACCAUGACGAACUUGUGAACUAUGAGGAAGCGAUGAUGAGCCCAGAUUCCACGAAAUGGUUUGAGGCCAUGAAAUCUGAGAUAUGAUCCAUGUAUGAGAACAAAGUAUGGACUUUGAUGGAUUUGCCCGAUGAUCGGCAAGCCAUAGAAAAUAAAUGGAUCUUCAAGAGGAAGACGGACGCUGAUAGUAGUGUUACUAUCUACAAAGCUAGACUUGUUGAAAAAGGUUUUUGACAAAGUUCAAGGUGUUGACUACGAUGAAAUUUUCUCACUCGUAGCGAUGCUUAAGUCUAUCCAAAUCAUGUUAGCAAUUGCCGCAUUUUUAUGAAAUCUGGAAAAUGGAUAAAUAAAACUACAUUCUUUAAUGGAUUUAAAGAAAAGUUGUAUAUGAUGCAACCAGAAGGUUUUGUCAAUCCUAAAGAUGCUAACAAAAUAUGCAAGCUCCGGCGAUCCAUCUAUGGACCGGUGCAAGCAUCUCGGAGUUGGAAUAUACGCUUUGAUAAGUUGAUCAAAGCAUAUAGUUUUAUACAGACUUGCGGUGAAGCCUGUAUUUACAAGAAAGUGAGUGGGAGCACUAUAGCAUUUCUGAUAAGUAUAUGUGUAUGACAUAUUGUUAAUCGGAUAUAAUGUAGAAUUAUUCUGCAAAGCAUAAAGGAGUGUUUGAAAGGAUUUUUUCAAAGAAAACCUCGGUGAAGCUGCUUACAUAUUGAGCAUCAAGAUCUAUAGAGAUAGAUCAAGACGCUUGAUAAGUUUUUUUUUCAAUGAGUACAUACCUUGACAAGAUUUUGAAGUAGUUCAAAAUGGAACAGUCAAAGAAAGAAUUCUUGCCUGUGUUACAAGGUGUGAAAUUGAGUACGACUCAAAGCCCGACCACGGCAGAAAAUAGAAUGAGAAUGAAGGUCAUUCCCUAUGCCUUGGCCAUAGGUUCUAUAAAGUAUGCCAUGCUGUGUACCAGACCUAUUGUAUACCCUACACUAAUUUUGGCAAGGGAGUACAAUAGUGAUCUAGGAGUAGAUCACUGGACAGCGGUAAAAAUUAUCCUUAGUGGAAUAAGGAUAUGUUUCUCUAUUAUGGAGGUGACAAAAGGUUCGUCGUAAAAGGGUUACGUCGAUACAAGUUUUGGCACUGAUCCGGAUGACUCUUAGUCUUCAUCUGGAUACAUAUUGAAAGUGGGAGCAAUUAGCUAAAGUAGCUCCGUGCAGAGCAUUGUAGACAUAGAAAAUUGCAAAAUACUUACGGAUAUGAAUAUGGCAGACCCGUUGACUAAACUUCUCUCACAGGCAAAACAUGAUCACACCUUAGUACCCUUUGGGUGUUAAUCACAUAGCAAUGUGAACUAGAUUACUGACUCUAGUAAACCCUUUGGGUGUUGGUCACAUAUUGAUGUGAACUAUGGGUGUUAACCACAUAAAGAUGUGAACUAUUGAUGUUAGAUCACAUGGCGAUGUGAACUAGAUUAUUGACUCUAGUGCAAGAGGGAGACUGAAGGAAAUAUUCCCUAGAGGCAAUAAUAAAGUUAUUAUUUAUUUCCUUAUAUCAUGAUAAAUGUUUAUUAUUCAUGCUAGAAUUGUAUUAACCGGAAACAUAAUACAUGUGUGAAUACAUAGACAAACAGAGUGUCACUAGUAUGCCUCUACUUGACUAGCUCGUUAAUCGAAGAUGGUUAUGUUUCCUAACCAUGAACAAAAGAGUUGUUAUUUGAUUAACGGGAUCACAUCAUUAGAAGAAUGAUGUGAUUGACAUGACCCAUUCCAUUAGCUUAGCACCCGAUCGUUUAGUAUGUUGCUAUUGCUUUCUUCAUGACUUAUACAUGUUCCUAUGACUAUGAGAUUAUGCAACUCCCGUUUGCCGGAGGAACACUUUGUGUGCUACCAAAUGUCACAAUGUAACUGGGUGAUUAUAAAGGAGCUCUACAGGUGUCUCCAAAGGUACAUGUUGGGUUGGCGUAUUUCGAGAUUAGGAUUUGUCACUCCGAUUGUCGGAGAGGUAUCUCUGGGCCCUCUCGGUAAUGCACAUCACAUAAGCCUUGCAAGCAUUGCAACUAAUGAGUUAGUUGCGAGAUGAUGUAUUACAAAACGAGUAAAGAGACUUGCCGGUAACAAUAUGGAACUAGGUAUUGAGAUACCGACGAUCGAAUCUCGGGCAAGUAACAUACCGAUGACAAAGGGAACAACGUAUGUUGUUAUGCGGUCUGACCGAUAAAGAUCUUCAUAGAAUAUGUAGGAGCCAAUAUGAGCAUCCAGGUUCCGCUAUUGGUUAUUGACCGGAGACGUAUCUUGGUCAUGUCUACAUUGUUCUCGAACCCGUAGGGUCCACAUGCUUAAGGUUUCGAUGACAGUUAUAUUAUCAGUUUAUGCAUUUUGAUGUACCGAAGUUUGUUCGGAGUCCCGGAUGUGAUCACGGACAUGACGAAGAGUUUCGAAAUGGUCGAUACAUAAAGAUUGAUAUAUUGGAAGCCUAUAUUUGGAUAUCGGAAGUGUUCCGGGUGAAAUCGGGAUUUUACCGGAGUACUGGGAGGUUACCGGAACCCCCCGGGAGGUAUAUGGGCCUUAGUGGGCUUUAGUGGAAGAGAGGAGAGGUGGCCAGGGCUGGGCCGCGCGCCCCUCCCCCCUAGUCCGAAUAGGACAAGGAGAGGGGGGCGGCGCCCCCCCUUCCUUCUCUCUCUCCUCUUUCCCCCUCCCGAAUCCUAUUCCAACUAGGAAAGGGGGGGAAUCCUACUCCCGGUGGGAGUAGGACUCCUCCUGGCGCGCCCUCCUCCUGCCCGGCCGCACCCCCCCUUGAUCCUUUAUAUACGGGGGCAGGGGGCACCCCUACACACACAAGUUGAUCCACGUGAUCAUAUUCUUAGCCAUGUGCGGUGCCCCCUUCCACCAUAAUCCUCGAUAAUAUUGUAGCGGUGCUUAGGCGAAGCCCCGCGACGAUAGUACAUCAAGAUCGUCACCACGCCGUCGUGCUGACGGAACUCUUCCCCGACACUUUUCUGGAUCGGAGUCCGGGGAUCGUCAUCGAGCUGAACGUGUGCUAGAACUCGGAGGUGCCGUAGUUUCGGUGCUUGAUCGGUCGGGCCGUGAAGACGUACGACUACAUCAACCGCGUUGUGCUAACGCUUCCGCUGUCGGUCUACAAGGGUACGUAGAUCACACUCUCCCCUCUCGUUGCUAUGCAUCACCAUGAUCUUGCGUGUGCGUAGGAAUUUUUUUUGAAAUUACUACGUUCCCCAACAAGCACGGUGGUCUUAGAUGAAUCUGUUUGUGGAGAUAUCCCUCAGCUUCAGGUAGAGGAGAAUGAUAUUCUAUCUGCACCGUUUACGGAGAAGAAGGUCUUGGAUGCAAUCUCACAAAUGAAACCGAAUAAAGCACCGGGACCAGAUGGGUUUCCAGCUAAAUUCUAUAAGAAAUGUUGGCAUAUUAUUCAGGGUUUGUUUAGGUCUCAGUCGACCGAGACUUCACGAAAUCUUAGUCGGCUGACGUCACCUUUUUUUUUGGCUUUUUUGCUUUAUUGUCCAGCCCAUACUAUGUCAUCUCUGGUCGCCUUUUGGGCUGCCCCGUUUGUCUUUGCUUUGUGUGUUUUUCAGCUGAGUUGGGCCAGAGAUUGGGCAGUAUUUUUGUUCCGUGCUGCUGCUCCAUUGACUACCCGGCCGGAUGUAUUAGUUUGUUGUUCGUGAAAAAAAUUAACAUGCGGUUAGUAUCAAUUUUGUCCGGUUUUACUUUUCAUUUUUCUCCUUCCAUUCUUAUUUAUACUAUUUUUGUUUCUAGAAAAUGUAAGCAUUAGUCGUGAUAUUUAUUUAAGAAAUAUGUUCAUUUUUUACAAAUAUUAAUCAUGUAUUUAAAAAAAUUAGAGUGCCAUUAGAUAAUGUACAAUAUUGUUUAAAAAUAUUCAUCAUGAAAUUAGAAAAAUGUUUAGCAUUAUUUAAUGAUGGUUUUACCUUGCAUUUUUCUUAGAUUGGGUCUCAUCUAUUUGUAAUUUUGCUAUCAUCCACAAAUUGACAAUGGUAAUACUAACAAAAUAAGAGAGCCAAUCAUAUUCAGUUACACAUGCGCUGCAGAGGUGCAACUGGAUUGGUGUGUCACGUUUAAAAAAAAAUAAAAACACCUCUUUUUAGAGAAACAAAAAAAAUUAAAAAGAUAUUAAAUAAGAAAAACAAAGUAAAUAAUGGGGUGUGGAUACGGUCCAGUCGACUGAGAUUUAAAUAAGUCUUAAUCAGCAGGCAUCCUAGUGUCAGACAUACAACUGGCCCACUCCCUCUCCCGCCGACCCUCUUACAAAACAAAGGUCCAGUUGCAGCCAUGUUGGGGAACUGAAAGCACAAGUGCUCCCUGGAUGGUUUUGGUAAUUAAUGUCAACAUAUCUCUUGUUGGACUAACACUUUUACCUAGUAUGUUUCAGAUAAGUUCAACAAUGGAGUGACAUGGACUAGAGGAUGUGGAACCCAUUCAAGAUGCUAAGGACAAAGGAUUGGCUCAAGCUUCAAGAUCAAGACUCUACAUUUUCUAUUUUAGUGAUCCAAGAUCACAUUGAGUCUAUAGGAAAAGCCAAUACUCUCAAGAGGGGAUGAGGUGUUGCUUAAUGGCUUGCUUGCUCAAAGUGCUUAGUGAUAUGCUCCAAAACCCUCAACUAUCGUCCCACAUCCACAUAUGACCUAAACCAAAAGUCAAACUCGGCCCCACCGAUUCUAUCUAUCCAGCGCCACCGAGUUUCAGAUGUCAUAGCCACUGCCACAAACCCUAGCAAAUCGGUUUCACCGAUAGUGAUCUCGGUCUCACCGAGAUGGGAUUGUAAUCUCUCUGUGUAUGUCCAUUACCAAAAUCGGUCUCACCGAGUUUGAGCAAUCGGUACUACCGAGAUUACAAUGCAAACCCUCUGGUUAGCUUAUUACCAAAAUCGGUCCCACUGAGUUUGUGUAAUCAGUCCCACCGAGUUUACCUGACCAACUCUCUGGUUAGCUUAUUACCAAAAUCGGUCCCACCGAGUUUGUGUAAUCGGUCACACCAAGAUUACGUUAUGCCCUAACCCUAACCAUAUCGGUCCUACCGAGUUGCAUCUCAGUCCCACCAAAAAUCCUAACGGUUACUAGGUUUGCUGAAUCGGUCCGAUCGAGUUUAACCAUUCGGCCCCACCGAGUUUGGCAAAUUGUGUGUAAUGGUUAGAUUUUGUGUGGAGGCUAUAUAUACCCCUCCACCCACUCUUCAUUCAUGGAGAGAGCCAUCAGAACAUACCUACACUUCCAAUACACAUUUUCUGAGAGAGAACCACCUACACUUGUGUUGAGGUCAAGAUAUUCCAUUCCAACCAUAUGAAUCUUGAUCUCUAGCCUUUCCCAAGUUGAUUUCCACUCAAAUCUUAUUUCCACCAAAUCCAAAUCCUGUGAGAGAGAGUUGAGUGUUGGGGAGACUAUCAUUUGAAGCACAAGAGCAAGGAGUUCAUCAUCAACACACCAUUUGUUACUUCGAGUGGUGUCUCCUAGAUUGGCUAGGUGUCACUUGGGAGCCUCCAACAAGAUUGUGGAGUUGAACCAAGGAGUUUGUAAGGGCAAGGAGAUCGCCUACUUCAUGAAGAUCUACCGCUAGUGAGGCAAGUCCUUCGUGGGCGACGGCCGUGAUGGAAUAGAAAAGGUUGCUUCUUCGUGGACCCUUCAUGGGUGGAGCCCUCCGUAGACUCGUGCAACUAUUACCCUCCGUGGGUUGAAGUCUUCAUCAACGUGGAUGUACGAUAGCACCACCUAUCGGAACCACGACAAAAACAUCCGUGUCUCCAAUUGCGUUUGAAUACUUCAAACCCUUCUCUUUACAUUCUUGCAAGUUGCAUGCUUUACUUUCCGCUGCUCAUAUACUCAUUGCAUGCUUGCUUGAUAUGUAUUGUGUUUGUUAAACUUGUGCUUAAACUCCACUUAAACUUAAGAAUAUUAAAAACUGCAACUUUUGGCACUUAGUGUCUAAUCACCCCCCUCUAGACACCUCUUCUCGAUCCUUUCAGGGACAUGCAGUUGCGGUCGGGUGCGGCGCUUGCAGCUGCGGGGUUCUUGUCGAGCUUGCAACUAACAUGCCCCCUCUCCCGGCAUCCCCUCUGAUAGAACAAAAAAGUCCAAUUGCGGUCAGGUUAAAAGACAUGCAGUUGCGGUCGAAUGCGGCACUUACAGUUGUGGGGCUGUUGUUGAGCUUGCAACUGGCCCACCCCAUCUCCCAGCGCCCCCUCCGACAAAGCAAAAGUCGAGUUGCAACCAUGUUGGGGGACAUGCAGUUCCGGUCGGGUGCAACACUUGCAGUUGCGGGGCUGUUGUCGGGCGUGCAAGUGGCCGGCCCCUCUCCCGGCGCCCCCUCUGACAAAACAAAAUCGAGUUGCAACCAUGUUGGGGGACAUGCAGUUGCGGGGCUGUUGUCAAGCUUGCAACUGGCCCGCCCCUCUCCUGGCGCCCCCUCUGACAAAACAAAAGUAGAGUUGCAACCAUGUUGGGGGACAUGUAGUUGCGGUCGGGUGCGGCACUUGCAGUUGCGGUGCUGUUGUCGGGCUUGCAACUGGCCCGCCCCCUCUCCCGGCACCCCAUCCGGCAAAACAAAAGUCGAGUUGCAACCAUGUUGGGGGACAUGCAGUUGCGGGAUCGGGGUAACACUAGAUAAGCAGUGUUGCGUGAAUCUUACGGAAACAGUGAUCUAACAGCCAUAUAUGUGUAUCGGGACUUCAGUUAAACUCAAUCGACUAAAUUUUAGCAAUCCAGGUAAUAAAAUUUCAACUAUCGCAACCAACAUUUACUUACAAAGCAUCUGAUGGAUGUGCAACUAAAAAUGAUUAACAAAAAAUUGGUAGGAAAUUUCGUUGCUAAAAUAGGGCUGCUAGAAAUUUAGAAAAUAUGCCAAAAUCAAAUAGAAUAAAACACAACAUCAAAAAGCAAGGACAAAAGGAAAAAUUAAAUUAAAUAAGAAAUGAAAAAAUGGAAAUGGAUAAGCAAAUAAUAAGUAAAAACAAAUAAAAGGAAAGUUAAAGACUUAUAUAAAUUAAAUGAAAAGUAAAACAAUAAAAAGAAGAAAAAGGUAAAGAAAAAAAGAAAAAAGAAAAUUUCUUUUGGGAAAAAGAGAAGCCAUCGUGACUUCCUCUCCUACAGGCAAAACUCACUUGUGUAGGGCGAGAAAAAGAAAUAAAACAAAGUACUUUUCUUGUAGGCUGACAAAAAUAACUAAAAAAACACACUCGGGAAAUUUGGGCUGCACAACAAAGGGAACAAAACCCAGAAGAAAAAUAAAAGAAAGGCUCUCUCAUCUCCACCGGCCCGUGUAGAGAGAAAGAAAAGAGUUGGUUCGAGCCAACGUACACGUACACACGGAUUGUUAUCGACUGAGACUUAGUAAAAAAUUAGUCGACUAUAUUUAGCGUAGCCGUUUUAUUAAAGAUGAUCUUAUGCCUAUAUUUCAUGAUUUCUUUAACAGUCAUCUAGAGCUAUUUCAUAUUAACUUUGGCAUGAUUACGCUAUUGCCAAAGAAAGAAGAAGUAGUUCGGAUCGAACAAUUCAGGCCCAUAUGUCUUCUUAAUGUGAGUUUCAAAAUUUUCACAAAAGUGGGUACCAAUAAAUUGACACAUAUUGCUCAUUCAGUGGUACAACCGAGGCAGACAGCGUUCAUGCCAGGGCGACACAUACUUGAAGGGGUGGUCGUCUUGCAUGAAAUGCUACAUGAAAUCCAUUCGAAUAAGCUAGAUGGGGUUAUCUUCAAAGUGGAUUUUGAGAAGGCAUAUGAUAAAGUUAAGUGGCCUUUCCUUCAGCAGGCCAUGCACAUGAAAGGAUUUAGUGAGACUUGGCGGAACCAAGUGGGUUCUCAAGUCCAAAAGGGUUGUGUCGGAAUCAAGGUUAACGAUGACAUCGGUCAUUACUUUCAGACACACACAAGGGUUUGAGACAAGGAGAUUCCAUGUCUCCUCUCUUGUUUAAUAUAGUGACCGAUUUGUUGGCCAUUCUUAUUGGCAGAGCCAAGCAGCAUGGUCAAGUGGAGGGAUUAGUUUCUCAUCUGGUUGAUGGAGGAGUAUCCAUCUUACAGUACGCUGACGACACUAUCUUAUUCAUGGAACAUGACAUUGCAAAAGUGCGAAAUAUGAAACUUAUAUUAUGUCUCUUCGAACAACUGUCUGGUUUAAAGAUAAACUUUCACAAGUGUGAGUUGUUCUGCUCUGGGAAGGCCAAAGACGAGCAAGACACAUAUAGACAAUUGUUCGGGUGUGAAUUAGGUUCUUUACCAUUUAGUUAUUUGGGCAUAUCGAUUCAUCACUGUAAGUUAUCUAAUAAAGAAUGGAACUGUAUAGAAGAUCGAAUUGAGAAAAAGCUGAGCUGUUGGAAGGGCAAGCUUAUAUCUUAUGGAGCUCGGCUAGUGCUGAUUAAUUCGGUACUGACUAGUAUGCCGAUGUUCCUAUUAUCGUUCUUUGAAAUUCCGAAAGGGGUACGAAAGCGACUUGAUUUCUUCAUAUCUCGGUUCUUCUGGUAGUCAGAUGAGUCCAAGAGGAAAUACCGACUCGCGUGAUGGGAUAUCCUUUGCUAACCAAAAGACCAGGGGGGUCUCGGUAUUGAGAACUUAGAAAUCAAGAAUAAGUGCCUUAUGAGCAAAUGGCUCUACAUGUUAGAGACAGAGCCGGAGGGCAUGUGGUAUAGAUUUUGCGCAAUAAAUGUUUGCAGUCGAAAAUGCUUGCCCAGGUUACCAUGAGACCAACUGACUCGCCAUUCUGGAAAGGGCUUAUGAGAACGAAGGACUUGUUCUUUCAUAGGGUCAAAUUCUUGGUUGGCAAUGGGAUGUCAACAAGAUUUUGGGAGGAUGCGUGGUUAGGAGAGACGCCCCUGGUCGUACAUAUCCAACCCUUUAUAACAUUAUGCAAAGGAGGAUUAUGUAGGCACAGUUUUCCAAACGAUUCCCUUGAAUAUUGAGUUCAGACGCGCGUUAGUUGGUGAGAGAUGACCUGCCUGGAUGCACUUGGUUAGGAGGUUGAUAUAUGUUCAACUCUCUGACCAGCCGGAUUUGAUGCAAUUGAAAUUAGCUAAAAAUGGGUUUUUACGGUGAAAUCUUUAUAUGGAUUUGAUUAAUUCUGGCCCAGUCUCAAGAUCGUUGCAUAUUUGGAAAAUUAUGGUUCCUUUGCGUAUUAAUUUUUUUAUGUGGUUUGUCCACAAACAAGUAAUACUCACUAAGGACAACUUAAUCAAGAGGCGAUGGGUAGGUAGUUCACGGUUUUGUUUCUGUGAUCAUGAUGAAACAAUACAACAUUUAUUUCUUAAAUGCACAUGAUGUCUACUACACAACCUUCUUCUUGUAGACGUUGUUGGGCCUCCAAGUGCAGAGGUUUGUAGGACAGUAGAAAAUUUCCCUCAAGUGGAUGACCUAAGGUUUAUCAAUCCGUAGGAGGCGUAGGAUGAAGAUGGUCUCUCUCAAGCAACCCUGCAACCAAAUAACAAAGAGUCUCUUGUGUGCCCAACACACCCAAUACAAUGGUAAAUUGUAUAGGUGCACUAGUUCGGCGAAGAGAUGGUGAAACAAGUGGUAUAUGGAUAGUAGAUAAAGGUAUUUUUAAUCUGAAAUUAUAAAAACAGCAAGGUAGCAAGUGAUAAAAGUGAGCGUAAACGGUAUUGCAAUGCGUGGAAACAAGGCCUAGGGUUCAUACUUUCGGUAGUGUAAGUUCCCUCAACAAUACUAACAUAAUUUGAUCACAUAACUAUCCCUCAACAUGCAACAAAGAGUCACUCCAAAGUCACUAAUAGCGGAGAAUGAACGAAGAGAUUAUGGUAGGGUACGAAACCACCUCAAAGUUAUUCUUUCCAAUCAAUCCGUUGGGCUAUUCCUAUAAGUGUCACAAACAACCCUAGAGUUCGUACUAGAAUAACACCUUAAGACACAAAUCAAUCAAAACCCUAAUGUCAUCUAGAUACUCCAAUGUCACCUCAAGUAUCCGUGGGUAUGAUUAUACGAUAUGCAUCACACAAUCUCAGAUUCAUCUAUUCAACCAACACAAAGGACCUCAAAGAGUGCCCCAAAGUUUCUAUCGGAGAAUCACGACGAAAACGUGUGCCAACCCCUAUGCAUAGGUUCCCAAUGUCACGAAACCCGCAAGUUGAUCACCUUAAUAUACAUCAAGUGGCACUUGGUAUCCCAUUAUCACCACAGAUAUCCACGGCAAGACAUACAUCAAGUGUUCUCAAAUCUUUAAAGACUCAAUCCGAUAAGAUAACUUCAAAGGGGAAACUCAAUUCAUUGCAAGAGAGUAGAGGGGGAGGAGAAACAUAAGAUCCAACUAUAAUAGCAAAGCUCACGAUACAUCAAGAUCAUGCCAAAUCAAGAACACGAGAGAGAGAUCAAACACAUAGCUACUGGUACAUACCCUCAGCCCCGAGGGAGAACUACUCCCUCCUCAUUAUGGAGAGCACCGAGAUGAUGAAGAUGGCCACCGGAGAAGGAUUGCCCCCUCCGGCAGGGUGCCAGAACGGGUCUAGAUUGGUUUUCGGUGGCUAUGGAGGCUUCUGGCGGCGGAACUCCCGAUCUAAUCUCUGUUCUGGAAGUUUUAGGGUAUAUGGAGUUUUAUAGGCAGAAGAAGCACGUCAGGGGAGCCACGGAUGCCCCACGAGGUAGGGGGGGCGCACCCUAGGGGGGUGGGCACGCCCCCCACCCUCGUGGGCAGCUCCUGUAUCUUCUGACGUGGGGUCCAAGUCCAUUAGGUGUGUUUCCUUCCAAAAAUAACUUCUCCAGUUGAUUUCGUUCCGUUUCGACUCCGUCUGAUAUUCCUUUUCUUCAAAACACUGAAAUAGGCACAAAACAACAAAUCUGGGCUGGGCCUCCGGUUAAUAGGUUAGUCCCAAAAAUAAUAUAAAUGUGGAUAAUAAAGCCCAAUAUUGCCCAAAACAGUAGAUAAUAUAGCAUGGAGCAAUCAAAAAUUAUAGAUACGUUGGAGACGUAUCAAGCAUCCCCAAGCUUAAUUCCUGCUCGUCCUCGAGUAGGUAAACGAUGAAAAAGAUAAUUUUUGAUGUGGAAUGCUAGUUGGCAUAAUUUCAAUGUAAUUCUUCUUACUUGUGAUAUGAAUAUUCAGAUCCGAAAGAUUCAAGACAAAAGUUCAUAUUGACAUAAAAAUAAUAAUACUUCAAGCAUACGAACAAAGCAAUCAUGUCUUCUCAAAAUAACAUGGCCAAAGAAAGUUAUCCCUACAAAAUCAUAUAGUCUGGUUAUGCUCUAUCUUCACCACACAAAAUAUUUAAAUCAUGCACAACCCCGAUGACAAGCCAAGCAAUUUGUUUCAUACUUUUGAUGUUCUCAAACUUUUUCAAUCUUCACGCAAUACAUGAGCGUGAGCCAUGGACAUAGCACUAUAGGUGGAAUAGAAUGGUGGUUGUGGAGAAGACAAAAAGGGAGAAGAUAGUCUCACAUCAACUAGGCGUAUCAACGGGCUAUGGAGAUGCCCAUCAAUAGAUAUCAAUGUGAGUGAGUAGGGAUUGCCAUGCAAUGGAUGCACUAGAGCUAUAAGUAUAUGAAAGCUCAAAAAGAAACUAAGUGAGUGUGCAUCCAACUUGCUUUCUCAUGAAGACCUAGGGCAAUUUGAGGAAGCCCAUCAUUGGAAUAUACAAGCUAAGUUCUAUAAUGAAAGAUUCCCACUAGUAUAUGAAAGUGACAACAUAGGAGACUCUCUAUCAUGAAGAUCAUGGUGCUACUUUGAAGCACAAGUGUGGUAAAUGGAUAGUAACAUUGUCCCUUCUCUCUUUUUCUCUCAUUUGUUUUGGGCCUUCUCUUUUUUAUGGCCUUUCUCUUUUUUUGGGCCUUCUCUUUUUUAUGGCAUUUCUCCUUUUAUUUUCUUUUUCGUUCGGAGUCUCAUCCUGACUUGUGGGGGAAUCAUAGUCUCCAUCAUUCUUUCCUCACUGGGACAAUGCUCUAAUAAUGAUGAUCAUCACACUUUUAUUUACUUACAACUCAAGAAUUACAACUCGAUACUUAGAACAAGAUAUGACUCUAUAUGAAUGCCUCCGACGGUGUACUGGGAUGUGCAAUGAUGCAUGAGUGACAUGUAUGGAAGAAUUAUGAAUGGUGGCUUUGCCACAAAUACGAUGUCAACUACAUGAUCAUGCAAGCAAUAUGACAAUGAUGGAGUGUGUCAUAAUAAUGGAACGGUGGAAAGUUGCAUGGCAAUAUAUCUCGGAAUGGCUAUGGAAAUGCCAUAAUAGGUAGGUAUGGUGGCUGUUUUGAGGAAGAUAUAUGGUGGGUUUAUGGUACCGGCGAAAGUUGCGCGGUACUAGAGAGGCUAGAAAUGGUUGAAGGGUGAAAGUGCGUAUAAUCCAUGGACUCAACAUUAGUCAUAAAGAACUCACAUACUUAUUGCAAAAAUCUAUUAGUUAUCAAAACAAAGUACUACGCGCAUGCUCCUAGGGGGAUAGAUUGGUAGGAAAAGACCAUCGCUCGUCCCCGACCGCCACUCAUAAGGAAGACAAUCUAUAAAUAAAUCAUGCUCCGACUUCAUCACAUAACGGUUCACCAUACGUGCAUGCUACGGGAAUCACAAACCUCAACACAAUUAUUUCUCAAAUUCACAACUACUCAACUAGCAUGACUCUAAUAUCACCAUCUCCAUAUCUCAAAACAAUCAUCAAGCAUCAAACUUCUCAUAGUAUCCAACACACUCAUAAGAGAAUUUUAUUAUUCUUGAAUACCUAGCAUAUUAGGAUUUUAAGCAAAUUACCAUGCUAUUAAGACUCUUAAAAUAAUAUAAGUGAAGCAUGAGAGUUCAUCUAUUUCUUCAAAAUAAAACCACAACCAUGCUCUAAAAGGUAUAAGUGAAGCACUAGAGCAAAUGACAAACUACUCCGAAAGAUAUAAGUGAAGAUCAAUGAGUAGUUGAAUAAUUAUGCAACUAUGUGAAGACUCUCUAACAUUUAAUAAUUUCAGAUAUUGGUAUUUUAUUCAAACAGGAAGCAAAGCGAAAUAAAAUGACAUUCUAAGAAUAGCAAACAUCAUUCGAAGAAGCAAUAACUUAGGAUCAACCGAUACUGACCGAUAGUUGUUGAAGAAGAAAGGUGGGAUGCCAACCGGGGCAUCCCCAAGCGUAGAUGCUUGAGACUUAUUGAAAUAUUAUCUUGGGGUGCCUUGGGCAUCCCCAAGCUUGAGCUUUUGUGUCUCCUUAAUUCCUCUGAUAUCACGGUCUCCCUAAAUCUCAAAAGAUUUAUCCACACAAAACUCAACAAGGACUCGUGAGAUAAGUUAGUAUAAACCAUUGCAAAAACCUUAUCAUACUCUACUGUAGCAAAUCACUAAAAUUAUUAUUCAACAUUGCAUACUGAAUGCCUCUGCAUAUUUAAUAGUCCUAUCCUCAAAUAUAAUCAUUAAAGAAGCAAACAUAUGCAAACAAUGCAAACAUAACAGCAAUCUGCCUAAACAGGAUAGUCUGUAAAGAAUGCUGCAACAUCCAUACUUCCCUAGCUCCAAAAAUUAUGAAAUAAAAUUCCCACUGUAGUAAAUUUAUCAGAGCUUAAUAUGCAAAAGGUUUCAACAUUUUAUCGCAUUCUGACUUUUCUAGGGAAUUAUUGCAACAACGGUAAACUUUCUGUUUUCAAACAGCAACAUGUAUACUUGUAACAUAGGCAUAGUAAAGGCUAUCAAUGCCACUUUUAUUGAAAUAAAAGAUGCAAAAAAUUAUUAUAAAUAACAGCAAGCAAAUUCUAACAAAAUAAAUUGACGCUCCAAGCAAAACACAUAUCAUGUGGCGAAUAAGAAUAUAGCUCCAAGUAAAGUUACCAAUGAACGAAGACGAAAGAGGGGAUGCCUUCCGGAGCAUCCCCAAGCUUAGGCUCUUGGAUAUCCUUGAAUAUUACCUUGGGGUGCCUUGUGCAUCCCCAAGCUUAGGCUCUUUCCACUCCUUAUUCCAUAGUCCAUCGAAUCCUUAUCCAAAACUUGAAAACUUCACAACACAAAACUUAACAGAAAACUCGUAAGCUCCGUUAGCGAAAGAAAACAAAACACUACUUCAAGGUACUGUAAUGAACUCAUUAUUUAUUUAUAUUGGUGUUAAACCUACUGUAUUACAACUUCUCUAUGGUUUAUAAACUAUUUUACUAGCCAUAGAUUCAUCAAAAUAAGUAAACAACACAUGAAAAAUAGAAUGUGUCAAAAACAGAAUAGUCUGUAGUAAUCUGAAUCAAACGUAAACUUCUGAAACUCAUAAAAUUCUCAAAUGAAUUGCUGGACCUGAGGAAUUUAUCUAUUAAUCAUAUUCAAAAAGAAUUAACUAAAUAUCACUCUCUAAAUAAAAAUGGCAGCAAUUCUCGUGAGCGCUAAAGUUUCUGUUUUUUACAGUAUGAUCAACAAGACUCUCCCCAAGUCUUCCCAAAGGUUCUACUUGGCACAAAAACUAAUUAAAAGCAUAAAACCACAUCUAAAUAGAGGCUAGAUGAAUUAUUUAUUAUUAAACAGGAACAAAAAGCAAGGAACAAAAAUAAAGUUGGGUUGCCUCCCAACAAGCGCUAUCUUUUAGUGCCCCUAGCUAGGCAUGAUGAUUUCAAUGAUGCUCACAUAAAAGAUAAAAAUUGUAACAUAAAAAGAGCAUCAUGAAGAAUAUGACUAGCAAAUUUAAGUCUAACAUACUUCCUAUGCAUAGGGAUUUUGUGAGCAAACAACUUAUGAGAGCAAUAAUCAACUAGCAUAGGAAGGCAAAACAAGCAUAACUUCAAGAUUUUAAGCACAUAGAGAGGAAACUUGAUAUUAUUGUAAUCCAUACAAGCAUAUGUUCCUCCAUCAUAAUAAUUUUCAGUAGCAUCAUGAAUGAAUUCAACAAUAUAACCAGCAUCUAAAGCAUUCUUUUCAUGAAUAAUAGUGGGAGAAAAUUCAACAAAAUAACUAUCACGUGAUUGCGAAUUAAGAUGAAGAUGACAAGUUUCAUAGUUAUUAUUAUUCUUUAAAGCAUACGUGUCAUCACAAUAAUCAUCAUAGAUAGGAGGCAUGCUUUCAUCAUAGUAAAUUUGCUCAUCAAAACUUGAGGGACAAAAAAUAUCAUCUUCAUCAAACAUAGCUUCCCCAAACUUGUGGCUUUGAAUAUCAUUGGCAUCAUGGAUAUUCAAGGAAUUCAUACUAACAACAUUGCAAUCAUGCUCAUCAUUCAAAUAUUUAGUGCCAAACAUUUUAUAGAUUUCUUCUUCUAGCACUUGAGCACAAUUAUCCUUUCCAUCAUACUCACAAAAGAUAUUAAAAAGGUGAAGCGUAUGAGACAAACUUAAUUCCAUUUUUUUGUAAUUUUCUUUUAUAGACUAAACUAGUGAUAAAACAAGAAACUAAAAGACUCGAUUGCAAGAUCUAAAGAUAUACCUUCAAGCGCUAACCUCCCUGGCAACGGCGCCAGAAAAGAGCUUGAUGUCUACUACACAACCUUCUUCUUGUAGACGUUGUCGGGCCUCCAAGUGCAGAGGUUUGUAGGACAGUAGCAAAUUUCCCUCAAGUGGAUGACCUAAGGUUUAUCAAUCCGUAGGAGGCGUAGGAUGAAGAUGGUCUCUGUCAAGCAACCCUGCAACCAAAUAACAAAGAGUCUCUUGUGUCCCCAACACACCCAAUACAAUGGUAAAUUGUAUAGGUGCACUAGUUCGGCGAAGAGAUGGUGAAACAAGUGGUAUAUGGAUAGUACAUAAAGGUAUUUGUAAUCUGAAAUUAUAAAACAGCAAGGUAGCAAGUGAUAAAAGUGAGCGUAAAUGGUAUCGCAAUGCGUGGAAACAAGUCCUAGGGUUCAUACUUUCGCUAGUGUAAGUUCCCUCAACAAUACUAACAUAAUUGGAUCAGAUAACUAUCCCUCAACAUGCAACAAAGAGUCACUCCAAAGUCACUAAUAGCGGAGAACGAACGAAGAGAUUAUGGUAGGGUACGAAACCACCUCAAAGUUAUUCUUUCCAAUCAAUCCGUUGGGCUAUUCCUAUAAGUGUCACAAACAGCCCUAGAGUUCGUACUAGAAUAACACCGUAAGACAAAAAUCAAUCAAAACCCUAAUGUCACCUAGAUACUCCAAUGUCACCUCAAGUAUCUGUGGAUAUGAUUAUACGAUAUGCAUCACACAAUCUCAGAUUCAUCUAUUCAACCAACACAAAGGACCUCAAAGAGUACCCCAAAGUUUCUACGGGAGAAUCAUGACGAAAACGUGUGCCAACCCCUAUGCAUAGGUUCCCAAUGUCACGAAACCCGCAAGUUGAUCACCUUAACAUACAUCAAGCGGCAUGUGGUAUCCCAUUGUCACCACAGAUAUCCACGGCAAGAUAUACAUCAAGUGUUCUUAAAUCUUUAAAGACUCAAUCCGAUAAGAUAACUUCAAGGGGAAACUCAAUUCAUUACAAGAGAGUAGAGGGGGAGGAGAAACAUAAGAUCCAACUAUAAUAGCAAAGCUCGCGAUAUAUCAAGAUCGUGCCAAAUCAAGAACACGAGAGAGAGAGAGAGAGAGAGAUCAAACACAUGGCUACUGGUACAUACCCUCAGCCCCUAGGGAGAACUACUCCCUCCUCGUCAUGGAGAGCACAGGUAUGAUGAAGAUGGCCACCGAAGAAGGAUUGCCCCCUCUGGCAGGGUGCCAGAACGAGUCUAGAUUGGUUUUCGGUGGCUACGGAGGCUUCUGGCGGCGGAACUCCUGAUCUAAUCUCUGUUCUGGAAGUUUUAGGGUAUAUGGAGUUAUAUAGGCAGAAGAAGCACGUCAGGGGAGCCAUGGGGGCCCCACAAGGCAGGGGGGCGCGCCCCCACCCUCGUGGGCAGCUCCCGUAUCUUCUGACGUGGGGUCGAAGUCCAUCAGGUGUGUUUCCUUCCAAAAAUAACUUCUCUAGUUGAUUUCGUUCCGUUUCGACUCCGUCUGAUAUUCCUUUUUUUCAAAACACUGAAAUAGGCAUAAAACAGCAAAUCUGGGCUGGGCCUCCGGUUAAUAGGUUAGUACCAAAAAUAAUAUAAAAGUGGAUAAUAAAGCCCAAUAUUGCCCAAAACAGUAGAUACUAUAGCAUGGAGCAAUCAAAAGUUAUAGAUACGUUGGAGACGUAUCAGCCCACUCGCCAAAUUGCUUUGGAGAACGAUUCAUAUAGACUUCAACAUCAAUCCUCCAGUUGACAUUGAGUCGUUGUUUGGACCGUGGUUAGCUGGGGUUGAACAUACUACUGCGGCUCGUAUUCGGAUUGGAAUAUGUGCACUUCUGUGGGCUAUAUGGAACUGUAGGAAUGAUUUGAUUUUUAACAGACAAUACACUUUAACUUCUUGCAGGUCAUCUUCAGAGCUACCGCAUGGAUCCGUACAUGGUCCUUACUCACUCCUAUGGACUCCAGGGAGCCUUUGGUUACUGGGUGCAACCAGUGGGAGAUGUUAUCACGGGUUAUAUUCAACUGGUUCGUAUGACGGUCGCAUAACAUGAUAGGAGUCUAGGAAAUUUAUCCUUCAUAUUGCCGUACCGGUUGUGAUUGUCAGCAUGUAUUUUCCUUUUAUUAUUUCGCUUCGCUCUACUUGCGAGCUGUAAUACUUUUAUGACUUUAUGAUAUUUCAUGGCUUUUUUAAUAAGAUGGCUGCAUGCAUCAUUAUGAUGCAGAGGCCAGGGAUACGCCUCUAUUUCCAAAAAAAAUCUAGGCAUAAGGUUUUAAGCUAGCUGAAUAUGUUGUAAUCGUAAUUUAGUUAAUUUUCCUUAUGUUGCAUACCUCGAACUGGAGGCUGGUGCAUAGGACUUGUGAAGUUGGGAUGAUGACGUUGAGCUGCAAGACAUUCUCAAUUACUGAAAUGAAAUCGGGUCUCGGGAAAAAAUCUGUUAAUCAUAAUUGUAAUAUUUAUAUUUGAACUAUCUUCGCAUUUCAAAAUUUUAGUCACCUAAGAUUUGAUAUGUUAAUUUUUUAAGUGUUGCGGACUUUAAAAAUAUAGGGAUGACCUACUCCUGUAUCCAGAUCCAAAGAUGAGUCCAAACAUUACACAGACAUAUAUUUUUCCAUUUUGAGGAUCGGUGUUGAAGAUGCUCUAAACCCCUAAGUGGAUUUUGAUAUAGAAUGACAAGCAACUAAGGCACUAAUAUGAGUUCUAAGUUACCUAAAAAAUGAGUUCUGAGUGUUAAAAUAGAUUUUAGUCCCAAGUGUGAACGUUACUAAUGGCCUGCAAGAGAUAUAUGAUCGUUUAGCAAAAUCCAUGGAAGUAUCCAAUUAGUUAUCAUUCCCAACCAGUAGUGGAGGAAGUAUUAAUCUUAUGGGACAAAUUUUCCCCCUAAUUUGUGUCAACUCUCAUUUUUACCCCUAAAAAAUAGUAAAUUUGUCCCUCUUUCGUCUGGUGCCCUUAUGAAAAUACCCCUACGCGUCGUUUUCGUCCGGUCAAAGGUCUUUGACCGUUGGUGAUGAUUUCUUCAAUCACUGACAAUUCUUUACCAGCAAACGUCUGCUCACAACACACACAACUUAUUAGGAGGAAUCGUCUUUGUUAUUAUCAGUCUUCCCACACAAUUCUUAUUACUCACCUGUUUGCCGGGUAUCACACACAUCUUGUUAAGCUGAAUCGUUUGUGUUCUUCUGGAUCAUCGCAAUUAGUUCGUCCGAGUGACCUGUAUGCCAUCUAUCGCACACAUCUUGUCCUGGGUAAUCAUUUGUGUUGUUUUCGCUUCUCGCAAACAGCUCAUCCGGGUGACCUGUAUGCCGUAUAUCACACACAUCUUGUCCUGGGCAAUCGUUUGUGUUCUUUUUCGUUCAUCGCAAAUAAUUCAUCCGAGUGACCCGUAUGCCGUCUAUCGCACAUACCUUGAUCUAUCUAACAAUUUCUGUUGUUUUGUCUCAUCGCAAAUAAUACGUAUGUAUCAACUGUAUGCCACAUAUCACACAUGCGACUCUUUUCUGGAUCGUAUUUUAUGGCUCCGCCAUCGCACAUGGUUUGUAUUAUUGGGACAGUUUUAUUACGACUCCGUUUGCGAUUCAUGCAUCGCACAUAGUUUUGUUGAAGGGUCUUUGAUUCAUGUGUCGCCUUAGCAGCAUCCUGCACUAGUGCUUGUUUGUUAAAAUUAGUACAAAGUUGAGUCAUCUAUUUUGAAACGAAGGAAGUAUGUUUGAAUGAUUAUUCGAAAGUAGCCCAUAGUCAAAAUUCAUGUGAGGACACAUAUGCAUAUUAAUAUUAGACUAGCACAUGUAUUGGUCGAUGACCAUGUUUCACGGAGCAUGGACAUGGAGACGUCGAACGAGUAACGUGGCCUAUGCGUGUUAGGUACAUGGGGUUGGACACGCUAAACUUGACACAUAGCAGGGUUGCUUUUGGUUGUCUCUUAUAAUGUGUAUGUUAUGUUCUUAGACCUGAGAUUAUUGUAUGUACUUGAGAUUUGUAGUGACUUACUUAGGGGUUGCCAAAUGCUACUUCGUACCUGGAUAGUUAUAAAGGCUGAUUACUUAUUUCUGAUGAAGCAUGCUACGCGACAUGAUCAGUCGAGAUGGGAUUUGCCCCUCUCUAAAAUGAGAGACAUCUCUUGGGUCCUCAAGUCAUCAGAUCUACAAAUGCAUGACCGUGCUACUUAAGGUUAAAUAGUUAACCUAGUAAAGAAUUCCGAGUCACUUAAUUGAGAAAGAGCGGUCGAGCAUGAGCUUGACCAAUAUCAUGAGACAAAGGGAAGAAUAUCAUGUAUGCAACAUUGUGUAGGGUCAUCCGAUAUGAUCUUUACUCACGUCUUGUAGUUGGCAUGUCUUGCUAGAGUCCACUACCAACUAGUGAUGGAGUCGUAGUACUCGGGUUAUGUACAAAGUAGCAUGAACCUACAAGGUGACACACUUGAAGGACCGAAGUCGAAAUGGAUUCAGCUGAAGGAUGUAUAAGAGAGUGAGUUGUUUGAGCCCUGAGCCAAUUAGGGAAGGGAGCGACAAACACUAGAAGGAUUUGCCCCUUCACUACUAAGGAAAACCUUAUAGACAGGGGCUUAUUAGUAGCGCUUUUUGAAAGGUAACACUGCUACUAAUUAUUAGUAGCGCUUGGCCGCAGAAAGCGCUGCUACUAUGCAUUUACCGGUAGCGCUGUAGUUACAAAACACGCUACUACUAUAAUUGCCAAACCGUUUGCUAGCAGGCUAGGUAUACUAGUAGCGCUGGUGUGCAAAAAGCGCUACUGCUAUUGUACGUAGCAGUAGCGCUUUCCUCUGACCAACACUACUGCUAAAUUUAGCCCCCUCCUAGACCAAAGUUUAGUCCUACCUCGCUCCGUGAACAUAAUUUUUACCACCUUAAAUAUGGUGCUUCUCAAACCAUCACAACCACUUGGUCUUUAUCAAACUCUAUGUGUUGGAUCUGUGGCCGCAAUAGGAAUCUUCGCCGGUUCUUAAACUGGCGAGGAUUCCUAUUGACAAUUCAGAUUCUACACAAAAAGAUCGAUGAUGACCAAUGCAUUUUUUAAUUUGAUGCCUUAACGAUCAUAGCCUUAGUUGUAGCGCUGGUUAAGAAAAAGCGCUACUGCUAUUGAUCGUAGCAGUAGCGCUUGUUAGAAACAAGCGCUACCACUAAAGCCCUUAUCCAAAACCGCCUGCGCGCGCGUCCCCUCACCCCCCCUCACACUCACAUCGUACACCGCUUCGUCGCCGUCGCCGUCAUCCCUCCUCCUCCGUCGUCGUCAUCCUCCUCCACCCCAAGGUGCCUCCCUCCUCCUCCCUCUCCCUCGGCGCCCCCCUCCUCCUCCUCCCUCNNNNNNNNNNNNNNNNNNNNNNNNNNNNNNNNNNNNNNNNNNNNNNNNNNNNNNNNNNNNNNNNNNNNNNNNNNNNNNNNNNNNNNNNNNNNNNNNNNNNNNNNNNNNNNNNNNNNNNNNNNNNNNNNNNNNNNNNNNNNNNNNNNNNNNNNNNNNNNNNNNNNNNNNNNNNNNNNNNNNNNNNNNNNNNNNNNNNNNNNNNNNNNNNNNNNNNNNNNNNNNNNNNNNNNNNNNNNNNNNNNNNNNNNNNNNNNNNNNNNNNNNNNNNNNNNNNNNNNNNNNNNNNNNNNNNNNNNNNNNNNNNNNNNNNNNNNNNNNNNNNNNNNNNNNNNNNNNNNNNNNNNNNNNNNNNNNNNNNNNNNNNNNNNNNNNNNNNNNNNNNNNNNNNNNNNNNNNNNNNNNUCUCUCCUCCUCCACCUCCUCCCUCCUCCUCCUUCCUCCUCCUCCUUCUCCCACCUCCACCUCCCCCUUUCUGUAAAUAGAAUAGGAAGUUUUUAGAAUUUUUAGAUUUUUUAAGUAAAUGUAGGGUUUUAGUAUAUUCUGUUUUUAGAAAAUCUGAAUAAGUAAUUUGAAUAUAAUAGAAUAUGAAAUUAAUUUUUUUAGUAAAUGUAGGUCUUUGGAAUAGAAUAGGAAAUUUUUAGAAAUUUGAAUAAGUAAUUUUGAAUAGAAUAAAAUAUGAAAUUGAAAAAAUAGGUAAAUGUAGAUCUUUUGAAUAGACUAGGGAAUUUUUAGAAAAUUUGAAUAUGUAAAUUUGAAAAGAAUAGGAAAUUAUAAGUAAAUUUGAAUAAGAAAAUUUGAAAAGAAUAGGAAAUUAUAAGUAAAUUUGAAUAGAAUAAUUCAAUGUAGCUUAUAGAGUUUCACUAAGUCCUAAGAUGACGAUAAUAAUGUUUUUGUUUAUAUUUUGUUUUUGCAGAGAUCAAGGAGCCCCUGCAUCAUCCCCGCCGCCGUCCCCGUCACCGACCCCCUCCGACCUCGAUCGAGGUGAGACCAGCAACCCCAUGUUGUUAAUUUAAUUUAGGUAUUUUAGGUGUUUAAUCUUAGAAUAACAUAGUAUGAACCCUAGUUAUGAUCGAAGCAUGUUUAAAAUGUAGGUUUUUAAUUAGGUAUAGUUAAUAGAAUUUAGGUGUAUAUCUUGAAUGCUUAUUGAAUGCUCAUAUGAUGUAGAUAUAAACAUGUAUAUCUUGUGUUGCUAAAAUAGUAUGUGCUUGCCCAAGUGGCCGGCCAUGUUUGCAGGUUACACCUCCUAUAGUGGCCUAUGUUUUGCCGGAGUGUUGAUUAAUUUCCGUUCCGGAAAAUUUCAGGCGCUCGAUAUGUCCUUUUUUAGCAAAGGUCAUGCCGGAUUUUUCCGUGAAUUCUGGCAUGACUUGUGCUAGAAUAUGUAGGAAAUAUCGAGUGGCCUGGAUUUUCUCGAAAAAUAAUUAAACGACAUUUCGGGUUGACUUUAAGUCUGUCGAGGCUCCAUCACCGAAGGUCGAAAAAUCAGUGAGGGAGUAUAUCCACCAUAUAUGAGAGAGGACAAAGAAGCCCUACUGUUGUCGUGGGGGUCAUUUCUCCUUCUUUUCCUUGUGCUAGACCUUUGUUAUGCACUAGGGAAAUGAGGAGUAACGACCAUCACCGACGAUCGCAAAUGUCAGGGAGGAAUCAGUGAGGGAGAGUCUCCACCAUAUAGACUCGGCAAACCGAUAGUCAACCCAUGAUGAAUAAUAAUGAUCUAAUUUAUUUUUUAUAGUACAUAUAUUGAAUUGUACAAGUUUAGUCUUUGAAUUAUGAAUGUAGGAAAUGUCGUCAUCGGGCGAUGAAAGUCUCCUGGGGGAGUGUAGCUGGUGCAACGACGACCGAGGUCUAUGCGACAGGCCUCACCUGGACGAAGAUUGGCGCUUCAGCAUUAAGCUCCAGGAGACCUUCGAUGUUGAAAUGGUACACAAAGACGAAAAGUGUUUUUCAUAAUUAAGCAUGACUUCAACUAUUUCAACGUGUAAUUUUCAUCUUUUACAAUUUGAGUAGCUUAUCCCAUGCCAUGCAAGAUGCUAUGUCUUGGAGAGGAUGGGUUUUGAAGACCAUGAAAAUUUCGAAACAAAGAAAGUUCACCUAAGGACCCAUCAUAUGUGGAUUUUGAAGUAAAUCUGUAUAAUUCUGAGAGAGUAACCCAUUUUGGUUGCAAAAUUUGGGAAUCACUUUGCAAGAUGUAUGGUUUUUAUGAGGGUAUGCUUGUCACUAUGGAUCUUGAUGAUCCUAACAUCGACCAAGACAAUAUGGACAUUUGGGUCCUUGUUGAUACGCUUCCAAUUCUACCACUAUGUGAGUUUCUCAAACAUAGUUAUUAACUAAUUUAUAUUGUUUAUUUCAAAAUAGUUGACAACUUAUUUCCAUUGACAGCUUAUUUUCAUUGUUUAAACAAUGUGCGGAACAUGGUAGACAGAACCUACUACACCGAUGGCUCUGAGUUAACUUAUCAGGAGAAAAAUCAUCUGGUCGCAUUUUGUACUGAUCUUGAGAAUUACAAUAUCUAUUAUAAAACUCCUCCACAUUAUGGUCAAUACAUGCCACUAGUGCACGUGUUGAAAUACGGUAACAUCCAUGGAGAUGUCAUGGCAAGAUUUUUUAGUAUUGAGGCAUCCGUGCAUCUUUUGCAUAAAUUCUUUUAAAACUUAACUACAUUGCUAACUACGAGGUUAUUACUAUGAGUGUGCCUCAUCUAAUGUAUCAGAAUGGUCGCCUUGAUGUUUUGAACAUAUGGCCAGGUCAUCAUACGAAUUCACCUGUCCAUAUUGGAUUUCUAAAAGAAGUGGAGACAUGAAAAAUCAAAAAAUGGAAAAAAUGUAUGGACAGUCGUAAGGAGGUACUUGGUUGCAACAUUAUGCGAAAGGCAAGAAUUGAAGACAGGAUAAUCUCCAUUCCCCAUAAUGGAGAGUCAGGGCCUAUCUUGUUUUAUGCUAUUUUACCUAAGAGAAGGUAGUAGGUCCUAGUUAAUAAUACUCAUGAUCAUGUGCUAAGAACAACUAAGUAGGAUUGGUUAGAUGACUAUGAUGAUGAUGUGGUAUCGAGUAGAAGUUGUAUGAUCGGUGAUGAUGAGUAUGACUUGUUAUUAUGAUACCAAUGAUGAGUUAUUUAUUAUUAUGAUCGAUGAUGCAUGAUGCUAAGUUGUUAUAUGAGCAUGAUUACUUAUUAUAUAUAACAGUGGGUGAAAUGAACCUGGAUUAGAUUCAAGUGAAGCCAACAUGUGGUGCACAUCGAAAGUACUACUAAUCCAAACUAGAUCAAGUUUGGAUUAGAGUAGUACUUUCGACAUGCACCACAUGUUGCCUCCACUUGAAUCUACUCCACGUUCAUUCCACCCACUGUUAUAUAUAAUAAGUAAUCAUGGUCAUAAAAUCAUAUGAUGAAAGUACUGUAUAUAAAACCACACAAUGAAAAUAAGCUACAUUUUUAAAAAUACAGCAAAAUUUAGCAGCGGCGCUUUUUAGAACAAGCGCUACUCCUACUUACAAGUAGCAGCAACGCUUUUUAGAACAAGUGCUACUCCUACUUACAAGUAGCAGCAGCGCUUUUUAGAACAAGCGCUACUGCUACUAGUUAGGUGUAGCGCCUUAGUGGUAGCGCUGGACCCAGCGCUACUGCUAUGCAUAUUUCAAGCGUUACUAUUAGGGUUUUCCCUAGUAGUGCUUAUAAACAAGGGAGUGAGAGGAGUGCGUCUCCCCGAACAACCUAUGACACGACACCCCACCUCCACCACUCUAGCCCGGGGUUUUAGAAACUAGGGCACCUCCAGCUCCUUUGACCGUUAUUUGGAUUUUCUAGCAGAAAGAGCAUGGUGCCUCCAUGUUUGGUUUUGGUAAUUGAUGACAAUCCUUAUGGAAUAAUGAUUGCUUUGAGUUAUACUUUAAGGUUUGUCCAUAGGCAAUGUUUGAAGACCAUAUGUUGGUUUCAAGGUUGAAAGAAGAAGAUUAUGCAUUGACCAAGGUGUUAUUCAUGGAGUUGUCCAAAGAUUGGUCAUGUGAGAGUUGAGCCUAUCACAAGCAUGUCUUGAAGAACAAGAUUGUGUGAACAUUCAUGUUUACCUUCAAGACACCUGAUACGUCUCCAACGUAUCUAUAAUUUUUGAUUGUUCCAUGCUAUUAUAUUAUCCAUCUUGGAUGUUUUAUAUGCAUUUAUAUGCUAUUUUAUAUUAUUUUCGGGACUAACCUAUUAACCUAGAGCCCAGUGUCAGUUUAUGUUUUUUCUUGUUUUUGAGUUUUGCAGAAAAGGAAUAUCAAAUGGAGUCCAAAUGAGCUGAAAAUUUACGGCGAUUUUUAUGGACCAGAAGAAGCCCCCGAAGCACAAGAGUUGGGCCAGAAGAGUCUUGAGUCAACGACAAGGGUGGAGGGCAUGCCCCCUACAUUGUCGCUGCCUCGUGGACCCCCUGACUUGAAACCGAUGCCAAAAAUUCCUAUAAAUCCAGAAACCCCUAGAAACAAACCUAGAUCGGGAGUUCCGCCGCAAGCCUCUAUAGCCACGAAAAACCAACCGGGAGCCCAUUCCGGCACCCUGCAAGAGGGGGAAACCAUCACCAGUAGCCAUCUUCAUCAUCCCGGCGGUCUCCAUGACAAGGAGGGAGUAGUUCAUCCUCGGGGCUGAGGGUAUGUACCAGUAGCUAUGUGUUUUAUCUUUCACUCUCUCACUCUCUCUCGUGUUCUUGAUUUGGCACGAUCUUGAUGUACCGCGAGCUUUGUUAUUAUAGUUGGAUCAUAUGGUGUCUCCCCCUCCAUGUUCUUGUGAUGAAUUAAGUUUUACCUUUGAGGUUUCACUAUUAUCGGAUUGAAUACUAUUAUGGAUUUGAGAACACUUGGUAUGUCUUGCGUGGGAUACCCGUGGUGACAAUGGGGUGUUCUAUUGAUCCACUUGAUGUAUGUUUUGGCACUCAACUCGCGGAUUCCCAAGGUGACAUUGGGGUAAUCCAUGCAUAGGGGUUGAUGCAUGUUUUCGACCUUGUUUCUCCGGUAGAAAUCUUGGGGCACUCUUUGAGGUUCUUUGUGUUGGACUGAAAUAUUAUGAUUCUAAAGUUGUUUGAUGCAUAUUGUAUAAUUGACCCAUGGAUACUUGUGGUGACAUUGGAGUAUCUAGGUGACAUUAGGGUUGAUUGAUGUGUGUCAUAUGGUGUUAUUUUACUACUAACUCUAGGGCUGUUUGUGACACUUAUAGGAAUAACUCAAUGGAUUGAUCAGAAAGAAUAACUUUGAGGUGGUUUCAUACCCUACAAGCAAUUUCAUCUUAUGUUCUCUGCGAUAGGAACUUUGGAGUGAAUUUUGUCGCACAUUGAGGGAUUGCCAUAUGAUCUAAUUAUGUUAUCAUUGUUGAGAGAACUUGCACUAGUGAAAGUAUGAACCCUAGGCCUUGUUUUCAAGCAUUGCAAUACCUUUUUCGCUCACUUUUGUUACUAGUUACCUUGCUGUUUUUAUAUUUUCAGAUUACAAAAACCUAUAUCUACUAUCCAUAUUACACUUGUAUCACCAUCUCUUCGCCGAACUAGUGCACCUAUACAAUUUACCAUUGUAUUGGGUGUGUUGGGACACAAGAGACUCAUUGUUAUUUGGUUGCAGGGUUGUUUGAGAGAGACCAUCUUCAUCCUACGCCUCCCACAGAUUGAUAAACCUUAGGUCAUCCACUUGAGGGAAAUUUGCUACUGUCCUACAAACUCUACGCUUGGAGGCCCAACACGAGUCUACAAGAAGAAGGUUGCGUAAUAGACAUCAAGCUCUUUUCUGGCGCUAUUGCGGGGAUGUGAGGGCUUGAAGGUAUAUCUUUAGAUCUUGCAACUGAAUCUUUUAGUUUCUUGUUUUCUCACUAGUUUAGUUUAUAAAAGAAAACUACAAAAAAUGAAAUUGAGGCUGCCUCAUAUGCUUCAUCUUUUUAAUGUCUUUCGUGAAAAUGAUGGAAAGGAAAAUUGUGCUCAAGUGUUAGAGGAAGAAGUCAGUAAAAUGUUUGGCACUAAAUAUUUGAAUGAUGAGCAUGAUUGCAAUGUUGUUAGUAUGAAUUCUUUGAAUAUCCAUACUACUAAUGAUGAUUGCACUAGUCAUGAUAAAAAUGUUUCUUAUAAGCAUGUCAAUUUUUGUGGAGUGCAUAGAGUUUGCAAUUACAUACCAAAAAGGGAAGAUAGAUUUUGCAAGAGGCAUAAGUAUUUAGAAACUAAAUGUUUGCAAGAGAGGCUAGAUGUUUGUGCUAAAAGAUUUAAUUUUUCUCGCAGUCCUUGUGAACUUUGCAAUGAAUGUGGCCAUUUAAAUAUCCAAUGCAAAUUGGUUCUUGAUCGAAUCAUGUCCAAAAAUUGUGAUGACUUUAUUUCCCUUGCGCAUCAUAAUGAACUUAGUUUGCUUUGGUAUAUGAAGAAAUGAAACAUAUAACUAGGGAUAUUCCAGAAUAUAACCUUAAGAGAUUUCUUGAUUUUGAUCUAGAGGAAAUUUAUAUGUAUUGUGUGGUAAAUUGCAUUGAGAAUCCUUAUAUUGACAAUUACUUAAAGACAAGAAAACAAAUAGAAGAUGAAGAGAAUAUUAAUGAAGGGGAAGAGGUUUCCCAAUAUCCUCCUAUUUUUUCUUAUGAUGAAUCAGGUAACGAGGAGGAGUGUUUUAUUCAACAAAUCUCAUCAAUAAGGAGCUCCAAAAAGGUGAUUAAACCCACACAUGAUGUGGAGAAGAAAAAGAAAAGAUGGAGAAGCAAAGGUAAAACGGUAUCCCCCCCCCCCAAAUGAUGUUGCUCCUAUUAUUGUUAUGCCUAUUACUCUUUGUGAUGAUUAUGAUUGGGAUAGUAAUGAUACUUGUUAUAAUAUUGAGAAUAUAUUUGGCACCAACUUAGAAAAUUGUGAUGAUAAUAAUUGAUAUACUAUUGGUGUUAUUCAUACUAUUAAUGAUGAGAGUGAUUAUGCUUAUGAUAUGCAAAACCACAAGCUUGGGGAUGUUAUGUUUGAUGAGAAUGACAUGUUCGAAAAUUUAUUUGCUGCAAUUAAUGUUUGUCCCAAGCUUGGGGAUGUUAUGCUUAAUGAAGAUGAUAUUUUUAGCCCCCCCCCCCAAGUUUUGAUGUGCAAAUUUAUUAUGAUGAUAGCAUGCCUCCUAUUUAUGAUGAUUGCAAUAUUUAUGAAAGUGGGUUUGGAAGAGUCUCAACUUUAGAUAAUAAUCAUCUCACUAUUUUGGAGGGUGUUGAAUCUUAUUAUAAUGAUAAAAGUGGAUUUGGAGAGGUCAUGACUUUAUUUAGUAAUGAUUCCACUAUUUUGGAAGAGGUUUCAAUUGAUUAUGAUGAGAACGAAGUUGCUACUUAUGAUGAUUAUUGUGAUGACACUUAUGUUAUAAAAAGUAGUGAUGAUUAUACUUAUAAAACUUGUCAUGAUUAUGAUUACCCUUUUUCUGAAUAUUACUCUUCUAAUGUGGAAACAAUUUAUAGUAUUCAAGUUUCUUAUGAUACUCUCACUAUUCCGAAUGAGAAGAAUUUUGCUUUUGUGGAGAGUAGUAAAUUUUCUAUGGUUGUGGAUCAUGAAAAUAAUGCUUUAUGUGAUGGUUAUAUUGUUGAAUUCAUUCAUGGUGCUAGUGAAAAUUAUUAUGAGAGAGGGAUAUAUGCUUUUACUUAUUGCAAUAAUAUCAAGUUUCCUCUCUUUGUGUUGAAAGUUUUGAAGUUGCACUUGUUUUGCAUAGGUGAUUCUUGUUCCCAUGAAUUGUUUGCUCACAAAAUACCUAUGCAUAGGAAGUGGGUUAGACUUAAAUGUGAUAGUAAUAUGCUUCAUGAUGCUCCCAUUAUGUUUCAAUCCUUAUCUUUUAUGUGAGCAUCAUUGAAAUCAUCAUGCCUAGCUAGAAAGGCAUUAAAGAAAAGCGCUUGUUGGGAGACAACCCAAUAUUUACCCCUACUGUUUUGGUGUGUUCACAUGAUUAUGCUGCUGUAGUAAUCAUGUAUUGUAGCUUUUGUUUCAAUAAAGUGCCAAGUAAGACCUUUGAGAUGGUGUAUGGUGAUAGUUGAUUUGAUCUUGCUGAAAAACAAAAACUUUUGCGCCUAGUAAAAUAAAUUUUCAUUUUCUACAGGAAAGUGCUAAAAUACUGAUUAUUUAUAUACAAAUUUCCUAGAUUGUCCUAAUUUUUUAGAAUUUUUGGAGUUACAGAAGUAUGCAAAGUUUCCAGAUUACUACAAACUGUUCUAUUUUUGACAGAUUCUGUUUUUCAUGUGUUGCUUGCUUAUUUUGAUGAAUCUAUGAGUAGUAUCAGAGGUAUGAACCAUGGAGAAGUUGUAAUACAAUAGAUAUAACACCAAUACGAAUUAAAAUAAGUUCACAAUAGUACCUAAGUGGUGAUCUGCUUUAUUAUACUAACGGAGCUUAUGAGUUUUCUGUUGAGUUUUGUGUUGUGAAGUUUUCAAGUUUUGGGUAAAGUUUUGAUGGACUACAGAAUAAGGAGUGGCAAGAGCCUAAGCUUGGGGAUGCCCAAGGCACCCCAAGGUAAUAUUCAAGGACAACCAAGAUCCUAAGCUUGGGGAUGCCUCAGAUGGCAUCCCCUCUUUCGUCUUCGUUCAUCGGUAACCUUACUUGGAGCUAUAUUUUUAUUCACCACAUGAUAUGUGUUUUGCUUGGAGAGUCAUUUUAUUUUAUUAGGAUUUGCUUUCUGCUUGAAUAAUAUCCCAAGAUCUGAAUUUUUUUAAUGUUAGAGAGUCUUCACGUAGUUACAUAAUUAUCCGACUACUCAUUGUUCUUCACUUAUAUCUUUCGGAUAGUUUUUCAUUUGCUCUAGUGCUUCACUUUACCUUUUUAGAGCACGGCAGUGGUUUUUAUUUUGAAGAAAUUGAUGUACUCUCAUGAUUCACUUAUAUUAUUUUGAGAGCCUUUAAAGAGCAUGGUAAUUUGCUUUGGUUAGGAAUUUAGUCCUAAUAUGAUAGGCAUCCAAGAAGGAUAUAAUAAAAACUUUCAUAUAAAGUGCAUUGAAUACCAGGAGAAGUUUGCUUCCUUAUGAUUGUUUUGAGAUAUGAGGAUGGUGAUAUUAGAGUCAUGCGAGUGAGUAAUUGUGGAUUGUAGAAAUACUUGUGUUAAAGUUUGUGAUUCCCGUAGCAUGCACGUAUGGUGAACCGUUAUGUAACGAAGUUGGAGCAUGAGGUAUUUAUUGAUUGUCUUCCUUAUGAGUGGCAGUCAGGGACGAGCGAUGGUCUUUUCUUACCAAUCUAUCCCCCUAGGAGCAUGCAUGCAGUACUUUUUUCGAUGACUAAUAGAUUUUUGCAAUAAGUAUGUGAGUUCUUUAUGACUAAUGUUGAGUACAUGGAUUAUACGCACUCUCACCCUUCCACCAUUGCUAGCCUCUCUAGUGCCGCACAACUUUAGCCGGUACCAUACACCCACCAUAUACCUUCCUCAAAACAGCCACCAUACCUACCUAUUAUGGCAUUUUCAUAGCCAUUCUGAGAUAUAUUGCCACACAACUUCCACCGUUCCUUUUUAUUAUGACAUGCUCCAUCAUUGUCAUAUUGCUUUGCACGAUCAUGUAGUUGACAUAGUAUUUGUGGCAAAGCCACCAUUCAUAAAAUUCAUACAUGUCACUCUUGAGUCAUUGCACAUCCCGGUACACUGUCGGAGGCAUUCAUAUAGAGUCAUAUUUUGUUCUAAGUAUCGAGUUGUAAUUCUUAAGUUUUAAGUAAAUAAAAGUGUGAUGAUCUUCAUUAUUAGAGCAUUGUCCCAUGUGAGGAAAGGAUGAUGGAGAUUAUGAGGAAAAAUAAAAGAGGCCAAAGAAGCCAACAAAAAAAGAGAGGCUAAAGAAGCAAAAAAAGAGAGAAAAGAGAGAAGGGGCAAUGUUACUAUCCUUUUUCCACACUUGUGCUUCAAAGUAGCACCAUGAUCUUCAUGAUAAAGAGUCUCCUAUGUUGUCAAUUUCAUAUACUAGUGGGAAAUUUCAUUUUAGAACUUGGCUUGUAUAUUCCAACGAUGGGCUUCCUCAAAUUGCCCUAGGUCUUCGUGAGCAAGCAAGUUGGAUGCACACCCACUUAGUUUCUUUUUGAGCUUUCAUACACUUAUAGCUCUAGUGCAUACGUUGCAUGGAAAUCCCUACUCACUCACAUUGAUAUCUAUUGAUUGGCAUCUUCAUAGCCCGUUAAUACGUGUUGAUGUGAGACUAUCUCCUUCUUUUUUGUCUCCUCCACAACCACCAUAUUCUAUUCCACCUAUAGUGCUAUGUCCAUGGCUCACGCUCAUGUACUGCGUGAAAGUUGAAAAGGUUUGAUGUAACGCCCCAGAUGUAACUUACCAUAUUUGUACUCCGACUCUUGCCAUUUUCGGCUCUAAGUUAUGAGAUUCCCUCGUGGUUGGGUUUUGUCUUUUUUUUUGCAUUUUGUCCAUGUCAUGCAUUGCAUAUCAUGUCAUCAUGUGCAUCUCAUUUGCAUACGUGUUCGUCUCAUGCAUCCGAGCAUUUUCCUCGUUGUCCGUUUUGCGAUCCGACACUCCUAUGUCCUCUGGCACCCCCUUUUGUCUCUUUUCAUGAGUGGGUGUUAAACAUUCUCAGAAUGGACCGAGAUUUGCCAAGGGGCCUUGGUACACCACCGAUAGACCGCCUGUCAAGUUUCGUGCCAUUUGGAGUCUGUUUGAUACUCCAACGGUUAACCAGGGAACCGUAAAGGCCUCAUGUGUGUGUUGCAGACCAACACCUCUCGAGAGUGGCCCAAAAACCCAUCCAAACCCCCUCCAUCCUCUCGGCCGUUCGAUCAUGAUCGCGUGGCUGAAAACCGCACUCCAUUUGGACUCUCCUAGCUCCCUCUAGCUAUAAAAAUGUCUCCUCCUCCAUUCUCGGACGAAACCCUAAAAUUCCCCUCCGCUCCGCCGGACACGUCCGGGCGACGCCGACAAAGUUGCCACCGCCCCGCACCAACCCGCGUCCGCCACCUGUCGCCUCGCCGCCGCCCGCCGCNNNNNNNNNNNNNNNNNNNNNNNNNNNNNNNNNNNNNNNNNNNNNNNNNNNNNNNNNNNNNNNNNNNNNNNNNNNNNNNNNNNNNNNNNNNNNNNNNNNNNNNNNNNNNNNNNNNNNNNNNNNNNNNNNNNNNNNNNNNNNNNNNNNNNNNNNNNNNNNNNNNNNNNNNNNNNNNNNNNNNNNNNNNNNNNNNNNNNNNNNNNNNNNNNNNNNNNNNNNNNNNNNNNNNNNNNNNNNNNNNNNNNNNNNNNNNNNNNNNNNNNNNNNNNNNNNNNNNNNNNNNNNNNNNNNNNNNNNNNNNNNNNNNNNNNNNNNNNNNNNNNNNNNNNNNNNCGCCGUGCCGCGCCCGCUCCCGCGCCUCCCGGCCGGAGCCCGCUCCUCCUCGUCGCCCUCGUCGCCGGGAGCUCUCCGGCGAGCCCCCUAGCUCCGGCCACCGCCUCAUCUUCCUCUCCGGUGGGAACUCCGGUGACCUCCCCGAUGAACCUCGAACCACGCGCCAGAUCCAGAUCUGGAAAACCCUAGGUUGACCCCGUUUUCCCCUAAGUCACUAACAUUUUCAGCUCAUGUUCUUUGCAUCAUAACUCCGCAUCCGUAGCUCCGUUUUGGGCGUGCAAUACAUCAAAAUGUUCAUCUGGAUGUGCUAUUCUUUUUGUUCCAUUUUUCCAUGCUUGUUUGAGUCCAUCUUGAUGCCCAAAUAGUUGAUGCAAGAGUGCUAUAAAAUUUUAGGUGCUGAUUCUUAACAGAUCUUGAGCAUUUGUCAUUUUUGCCAUGAUUAUUGUGUGCUGCAUAUGGGCAUGAGCUCUACAUGUGUUUUGGGCUAUGCCAUGCCAUCUUUACAGGGGUGUAUGCCAUGUAUUUUGUGAUCAACAUGGUGACUAGCACAUGCAUGCAAAGUAGGUCUCGUAAUAUUGCUGAUUUCAGGGACUUAGAAUUUCACUAAGUCAUUUCCCUGCUGUUAUUUUAAUGCCAUGUAUUCAUGUUGCUUCAGUGAGAUCCAUGCUUCUUUUGAGUAUGUUCAGUAAGGAUGAUUUUGACAUAUGGUUGACUCUAUCCAUCCAUGUCCCUGUUUGCAUUUAUGAAGUGCCCUAGCAUGACUCAAUCUUGCUCUACUUUUGCUAUAAAAUGUUCCUGGCAGAUUGUUUACGUGUUAAUCAAUUUUGCCAAGGUUGUUGUAGUUGAUCCAUGCAUGCUAUAAGUUUGUUCUUGCUUUGGUUAGCUUCAUGAUCAUGUUGUCUUGCUGGUAGUAUGCUUAGCUUGUCAUGCAAUGCCUUGUGAUGAGUGCAUCGAGCUCGCAAACGUGCCUUCAUAAUUCUGUUGAUACCAUGUCCAGUUUUCUGCCAAGUCUGAAUCUGUUAACGAAACUUGCGAUGUUUACACGGGUGCCAUCAUAUCUUCUGAUCCUUUUUGGCUUAUGGUCAGCAAGGGACUUUUGUUAUAUGCUUUUAGUAGAUUCAUGUCAUGCCUUUGUUUGCUAUGUUUUGUUCCUAUAGCAUGUUGUUAUCUUGCUCUAAACAUUGCUUCCUGAUGUGAAUUCCUGACAUGUUAUUUCCACUAAGUCUGUGAAGCUGAUAUCUUUUGCACUUUUGCCAUGCUUGUUUGAACCUACUAUUGUGUGAUUUAGCCAUAGCUCAGUGUUCAUAUUUUGUCAAGCAUCUUGAGUAGAUCACUUCCAUGUGAUUUGUUGCUAUGUUGGAGUGCAGUAGCUUAGUUUAUUGUUGCAUUCUAGAUGACAUCAUGCUGUUAAUCGCAGAAGUGUGCCAUCAAUGUUUUGCUUGCCAUUUGCAAACCGUGCAUCCGAUUCCGGUGAUCUUUAUAUCGAUUUCGACCGAAAUCAACUCAUCUUCCCAGAGGUGUACUUGGUUUGCCAAGUUGAGGCCUGGUUCAAUCUUUUCCUUUCGGAGCAUGCAUAUGCAUUGCAUAUAACAUCCCACAUAUCAUGCCAUAUUUUGCAUCAUGUUGCUUGCGCAUUGCACCGUGGUUGAUUGUGGUUUCCUUUGCUUGUGUUCUUGCUUUUGGUAGAGCUGGGAGAUGAGUUCGUGAUUCAGGAACCCGAUCAGUACGCUUACGAGGAUCAGGCUUUCUUCAACCCGGAGAACUUUGCAGGCAAGAUGACCAUACCCUCGAAAUCACUUCUAUCUUUACUUGCUAGUUGCUCGCUCUUUUGCUAUGCCACGAUACCUACCACUUGCUAUAUCAUGCCUCCCAUAUUGCCAUGUCAAGCCUCUAACCCACCUUUUCCUAGCAAACCGUUGUUUGGCUAUGUUACCGCUUUGCUCAGCCCCUCUUAUAGCGUUGCUAGUUGCAGGUGAAGAUGGAGUUUUGUUCCUUGUUGGAACAUGUUUAUUAUUUGGAUAUCAUUAUUAUAUCUUGUUUACUUUAAUGCACCUAUAUACUUGGUAAAGGGUGGAAGGCUUGGCCUUAUGCCUGGUGUUUUGUUCCACUCUUGCUGCCCUAGUUUUCGUCAUACCGGUGUUAUGUUCCUUGAUUUUGCGUUCCUUAUGCAGUUGGGUUAUAAUGGGAACCCUUUGAUAGUUUGCCUUGAAUAAAACUGCUCCAGCAAGGCCGAACCUUGGUUUUACCAUUUGCCACCUAAGCCUUUUUCCCUUGGGUUUCACGGACUCAAGGGUCAUCUUUAUUUUAAACCCCCGGGCCAGUGCUCCUCUGAGUGUUGGUCCAAACUAGAGCACCGUGCAGGGCCGUCCCUUGGCAACUUGGGUUACGUUGGCUCCUGUACACUUAGCUUAUUCGAUGUGCCCUGAGAACGAGAUAUGUGCAGCUCCUAUUGGGAUUUGUCGGCACAGCGGGUGGUCUUGCUGGUCUUGUUUUACCAUUGUCGAAAUGUCUUGUAACCGGGAUUCCGAGUCUGAUCGGGUCUUCCUGGGAGAAGGGAUAUCCUUCGUUGACCGUGAGAGCUUGUGAUGGGCUAAGUUGGGACACCCCUGUAGGGUUUUGAACUUUCAAAAGCCGUGCCCGCGGUUAUGGGCAGAUGAGAAUUUGUUAAUGUCCGGUUGUAGAGAACUUGAAACUUAACUUAACUGAAAUGAAUCAACCAUGUGUGUAGCCGUGAUGGUCUCUUUUCGGCGAAGUCUGGGAAGAGAACACGGUUUCGUGUUAUGCUUGAAUGUAAGUAGUUUCAGGAUCAUUUCUUGAUCUUAUAGCUUCUCGACCAUGCUUUGCUUGUCUUCUCGCUCUCAUUUUCGUAAGUUAGCCACCAUAUAUGUUAGUGCUUGCUGCAGCUCCACCUCACUACCUUUUCCGACCCAUAAGCUUAAAUAGUCUUGAUCGCGAGGGUGUGAGAUUGCUGAGUCCCCGUGACUCACAGAUUACUUCCAAAACCAGAUGCAGGUGCCGAUGAUGCCAGUGCACGGGACGCGACCGAACUCAAGUGGGAGUUCGAUGAGGAUUCAGGACGUUACUAUGUUUCCUUUCCGGACGAUCAAUAGUGGAGCCCAGUUGGGGUGAUUGGGGAUCUAUGCAUUUGGGGUUGUCUUUAUUUUGGUUCCGUAGUCGGACCUUCAUUGUAUCUGGAUGUUGUAAUGCUAUAUUUAUGUAUUGUGUAAAGUGGCGAUUGUAAGCCAACUCUUUAUCCCUUUCUUAUUCAGUACAUGGGAUGUGUAAAGAUUACCCCUCUUGUGACAUGCCUACUAUGCGGUUAUGCCUCUAAGUCGUGCUCCGACACGUGGGAGAUAUAGCCGCAUCGUGGGUGUUACAAGUUGGUAAUCAGAGCCUUCCCCGACUUAGGAGCCCCCUGCUUGAUCGAAUCAUUGACGUUGUUGAGUCUAGAAAAAUGUUUUGAGUCUUAUAGGUUUAUAUGUAUAUAUAUAUAUAUAUAUCGGAGAGUAGGAUUCUUUUUACUCCUCAAUCCCUUCGUCGCUCUGGUGAGGCCUCCUGACAUAGAGUUUUGACUCUUCUCUCCUCAAAUUUCACGAAUUUUUUAGGAUCACGCGGGUAUCUUGGAAUCUUUUCGAUGGUUUUGUGACGAGAACAUUGUUCUUGGUGCCUCCUGACAUUUAGGGGUUGUGGCAGUGUCCCGGGGAGUGGAGCUCCGAGGUGUUGUCGUCACAAUUUUAUCGUUGCAGUUCUAGAAUACCUGAGUUUGCCGACAUCGAAAAUCUCCUUUAUGCAGUUGUUGGUGAGAUAACCUCGACGCCACCUAGUACUGGGGUGGGAGUUCGGGAGUAUUGCCAUAACUCGUAUAAGGGAUGCUUUUCGAAGGUUGAGGUAAAUGAUUUCCGAAGGUUUCUUGGUUAUGUGUUGAAGGAUGGAUACAACUGGAUGUAGGAUUUGCUAGUUUUGGGUGAGAUAUUAUGCUUCCCCUGUAUCCCCAACACCUCAUUGCAUAACCAGAAAGUUUUGGGAGUUUCAUAGGUGGGAAUUCAUGUAGCUCUAGUAUUUCUUCCCGCAGAUAUUUGGUUCGUGAUUGGGUAAUCCUUACCAAUUAUUUGUUCUUAUCCGUACCUUGUUGAUUUUAUUCUUCUAUCUCUAUUUAAGUGGCUUCUCAACUUAUGGAAGUGUGAUGAUUUACUUUGGAAUUCAUUCGUUCAUUCUUGUUUGAAUGUUAAGGCUAUAUGUUGCAAUUUUGAUCCAUUGAUUCAUCUUGAAUAAAUGUCUUUCAAGAUGCUAACGGAUGUCACCCUCUUCAAGAUGGCUCCUCCAAUGCGUCAGAAUCCGGAACCUCCACCACCACCUCCACCACCGGAGGCAUGACAUGCUGUCAUGGCCGCUACCAACGCCAACACGCAUAUGCUUAUGCAACUCUGGCAAGAGCGUAACCGAGGAAAUCAAGGCCAAGGCAACAAAUCAAGCUCAGUUUGCUACCCUCAAUCAGUUCCUCGCAAACCAGCCAAAGUCCUUCAGUGACUGUGUUGAGGCCACAGACGCUGACGAUUGACUCGUGGAUAUCUGCAAACAUUUUGAGUGUAGCAAUGUCAGGCCCGAGGACUUUGUCAAGUUUGCUUCGUUCCAACUCAAAGACCAAGCUGCUGAGUGGUAUCAACAAUACAAAGAUUCCAGAGGAGGUCGUGUGAUUACCUGGGAUGAUUUCCGCCGGGACUUCAAAGCUCACCGCAUUCCUCAAAGUGUUGCUGAGAGUAAGCGUGAGGAGUUCCACAAUCUGAAGCAAGGCAGUAUGUCUGUUUACCAAUACAACAUCCUAUUUCAGAGGCUCGCUCGCUUCGCUAAACAAGACGUCCCUGACGAGAAGAGCAUGAUUUAUCAAUUUAGAGGUGGCCCCAGAGAAGAUCUGCAACUAGCUCUUGUGCUUUUUGAGCCGAAAGAGUAUGACGAAUUCUACAACAUGGCACUAAAGCAAGAAGCUACUCAGCUCAAGUGCAAUGCUUCUAAGAAGAGAGUCAGGGAUGCAACUCAAUCGUCUUCUUCAUCUCAAGUGGCAGCUAAGAAGCAAAAGUUCUGGUUGCCUCCUCCUCCUUCGUCCCGUCAGCCUUAUCAGCAGAAGGGUAAAGGUGGCAAUGGAUCUUCCCACCCACCCAACCCAGGCUUUCAUAACAAAGCUUCGUCUCAUGCUCCAAGGUCAAGUGCUCCAUAUCACCGUCCGCUCUCAGAGGUUACUUGCAACAAGUGUCAGCAAAAAGGACACUAUGCAAACAAAUGCUUCAACCAGAGGCGCCUUUCGCCUCCUCCUCCCGUGAGAUCUGCCAGCAAUGCAGUGGUCAAGCAUAAUCCCAAGUUUGCAAAGGUCAAUAUGAUGAACGCAGCUCAGGCAGAGGACUCUUCAGAAGUGAUCAUGGGUAACUUUCCAGUUAACUCUACUCCUGCAAAAGUCCUUUUUGAUACUGGUGCAUCGCAUUGUUUCAUGUCAAGAUCAUUUGUUUCAAAGCAUGACUUCGUUUCGGAAAUAUUGGGUAAACCCAUGGGAGUGGUUUCUCCGGCCAAGUCUAUGAGGGCUACCACGUUGAUCCCGAAUGUUUCUAUCGAGAUGGGUGAUUACAGAUUUCUGUCUUCUCCAAUGGUUCUUGGUGACUCGGAUAUUGAUCUAAUUCUCGGCAUGGACUGGCUUUCUAAGCACAAGGCUCAGCUUGAUUGUGCUGCCAGGCAGAUUCAAUUGACACACUCGUCUAUCAUCUAUGCCGCUCGUGAUGAUACCAUUCGACUGUUUUCUCUCAAUGAGAAGGGCGAGUUGAAUGCCAUCUCUUAGAUUCCAGUCGUUUGUGAAUAUCAAGACGUCUUUCCAGAAGAGCUUCCAGGAAUGCCUCCUCACCGGCCAGUUGAAUUCGUCAUUGAUCUUGAGCCUGGCACGGAACCUGUUUGCAAACGUCCUUACAAGCUUGGACCAGAAGAGUUGAAGGAGCUGAAGAAACAACUCAAUGUACAAGAGCGUAUGGGUCUGAUCCGACCGAGUUCUUCUCCAUGGCGUUGUGGUGUUCUUUUUGUCAAGAAGAAGGAUGGCACGGACCGACUUUGUGUCGACUACCGCCCAUUGAACAAGAAGACAAUAAAGAACAAGUAUCCACUUCCCAACAUCAAUGAGCUAUUCGAACAACUCAAAGGUGCUCAAGUAUUCUCCAAGCUUGACCUCCGUAUGGGCUAUCAUCAUAUUCGCAUUCGUGAACAAGAUAUCCCCAAGACAACAUUCAUAACAAGCUAUGGUUCUUAUGAAUAUACUAUCAUGUCUUUCGGCCUUGUCAACGCUCCUCCAACAUUCUCUCGCAUGAUGAACUUCAUCUUCAACCCCUACACAAAUGAUUUUGUCUUGGUGUAUCUCGAUGAUGAUUUGGUCUUUUCCAAGAACAAGGAGGAUCAUGCCAAGAAUUUGAGAUUGGUGUUGGACAAACUCAGAGAACAUCAGUUCUAUGUUAAGUUUUCAAAGUGCGAGUUUUGGCUCGAUGAGGUUCUCUACCUUGGGCAUAUCAUCUCCGCCAAGGGCAUAGCUGUUAAUCCUGAGAAGGUGUCUGCAAUUGUGAAUUGGUAACCACCUCAGAAUGUCAAGCAGCUCCGCAUCUUUCUUGGGCUUGCAAGCUAUUGUCGAAGAUUCGUUGAGAAUUUCUCUAAGAUUGCAAAGCCUCUUUCCAACCUCCUCCAGAAGCAUGUGAAGUAUGUAUGGAUGCCUGAAUGUGACAUCGCUUUCAACACCCUGAAAGAGAAGCUAGUCACAGCUCCAGUUCUGACUCCUCCUGAUGAAUCCAAACCAUUCGAGGUUUUCUGUGAUGCUUCCCUGCAAGGUCUCAGUGCUGUGUUAAUGCAAGAGAAGAAAGUUGUGGCCUAUACCUCUCGCCAGUUGAAGCCCAACGAAAGGAACUACCCCACUUACGACCUCGAGUUGGCGGCAGUUGUCCAUGCUCUUUUAACAUGGAGACAUCUCUUGUUGGGAAGGAAAGUGGACAUCUUCACUGAUCAUAAGAGCCUCAAGUACAUCUUCACUCAACCCAACCUCAACAUCAGACAGACUUGUUGGGUCGAAAUGAUUCAAGAGUAUAAUCCGAGUAUUGAAUAUACUCCAGGCAAGGCCAAUGUCAUUGCCGACGCUUUGAGUAGGAAGGCUUACUGCAACAGUUUGAUUCUCAAGCCCUUCCAACCGGAUCUUUGUGAAGCUUUCCGCAAACUUAAUCUCCAAGUUGUUCCUCAAGGAUUUCUUGCCAACCUCCAAGUCUCUCCUACUUUGGAAGAUCAGAUUCGUGAGGCACAACUUCUUGAUGCAAUGGUGAAGAAGGUGAAAAAUGGGAUUGCCAAGAGCCAACCCAAGUACAAGUGCUAUCGCCUUGAUGACAAAGAUACUCUUUUCUUUGAGGAUCGAAUUGUUGUUCCUAAAGGUGACCUUCGUAAAGUCAUUAUGAACGAGGCUCACAAUUCCCUCCUAUCCAUUCAUCCUGGAAGUACAAAGAUGUACCAUGACCUCAAGCAGUCAUAUUGGUGGACUCGAAUGAAGCGAGAAAUUGCUCAGUUCGUGAAUGAAUGUGAUGUCUGCAGAAGAGUGAAGGCAGAACACCAACGGCCAGCUGGUCUCCUCCAACCUCUUGCCAUUCCAGAAUGGAAGUUUGACCAUAUUGAGAUGGACUUCGUGACUAGAUUUCCCAAGUCCAAACAUGGAAAUGAUGCUAUCUUUGUUGUCAUCAACAAGCUUACUAAAGUGGCUCAUUUUCUUCCUAUCAAAGAAUCUAUCACAGUAGCUCAGUUGGCAGAGCUAUAUACCUCCAGGAUUGUCUCUUUGCAUGGCAUUCCGGAGUUGAUAUCUUCAGAUUGUGGAAGCAUCUUUACUUCUAAGUUCUGGGACUCCUUUCAGAAGGCCAUGGGCACCAACAUUCCCUUCAGCACAGCCUUCCAUCCUCAAACUAGUGGACAAGUCGAGCGAGUCAAUCAAAUUCUUGAAGAUAUGCUCAGGGCUUGUGUCAUUUCUUUCGGUACGAAGUGGGAAGAUUGUCUUCCAUAUGCCGAGUUCUCCUACAACAACAGCUUCCAAGCGACUUCAGGCAAGGCCCCAUUCGAGAUUCUCUAUGGCAGCAAGUGCCGUACUCCUCUUAAUUGGUCAGAGACUGGUGAACGCCAACUUCUUGGCAAUGACUUAAUCACAGAAGCUGAAGAAAUGUGCAAAGUCAUUCAUGAAAAUCUCAAAGCCGCGCAAUCGCGCCAGAAGAGUUACUAUGAUAGCAAGCAUCGUGACUUGGCUUUCGAGAUAGGAGACCAUAUCUACCUCCGUGUAUCUCCAAUGAAAGGUACUCGUCGCUUCGGUAUCAAAGGGAAGCUUGCCCCUAGAUACGUGGGUCCUUUCAAGAUCAUUGCAAAAGAGGCGAUCUCGCCUAUCAACUUGAACUUCCGUCCAACUUUGCAAACGUGCAUGACGUGUUUCACGUGUCUCAGCUUCGCAAGUGUUUCAAGACUCCUGACCGCACCAUCAACUUCGAAGAGAUUGAUCUCCAAGAAGACCUGUCUUAUCAUGAGCAUCCCGUCGCUAUUCUUGAAGAAACUGAGCGCAAGACUCGCAACAAGUCUAUCAAAUUCCUGAAAGUGAAGUGGUCACAUCAUUCCGACUGAGAAUCCACCUGGGAACGCGAGGACCACCUUCGUUUCGAAUAUCCUGAGUUCUUUCAGUCCUAGAUCUUGGGACAAGAUCCUUUCGUAGUGGUGGAGUGUUGUAACGCCCCGGAUGUAACUUACCAUAUUUGUACUCCGACUCUUGCCAUUUUCGGCUCUAAGUUAUGAGAUUCCCUCGUGGUUGGGUUUUGUAUUCAUUUUGCAUUUUGUCCAUGUCAUGCAUUUCAUAUCAUGUCAUCAUGUGCAUCUCAUUUGCAUGCGUGUUUGUCUCAUGCAUCCGAGCAUUUUCCUCGUUGUCCGUUUUGCGAUCUGACACUCCUAUGUCCCGCGGUGCCCCCUUUUGUCUCUUUUCGUGAGCGGGUGUUAAACAUUCUCGGAAUGUACCGAGAUUUUCCAAGCGUCCUUGGUACACCACCUGUAGACCUCCUGUCAAGUUUCAUGCCAUUUGGAGUCCGUUUGAUACUCCAACGGUUAACUGGGGAACCGUAAAGGCCUCGUGUGUGUGUUGCAGCCCAGCACCCCUCCAAAGUGGCCCAAUAACCCAUUCAAACCCCCUCCAUCCUCUCGGCCGUCCGAUCAUGAUCGCGUGGCUGAAAACCGCACUCCAUUUGGACUCUCCUAGCUCCCUCUAGCUAUAAAAACGUUUCCUCCUCCUCCAUCCCCGGACGAAACCCUAAAAUUCCCCUCCGUGCCGCCGGACACGUCCGGGCGAUGCCGGACAAAGUCGCCACCGCCCCGCACCAACCCACGUCCGCCACCUAUCACCUCGCUGCCGCCUGCUGCCACCGGCCUACGGGGCCCACAUCCAGCCCGCUCGGCCCGCGCGCGCCGCGCCUCCCCGCGGCCCGGGCCCGAGAGCCCCGCCGCCGCCUCGCUUCCCCGNNNNNNNNNNNNNNNNNNNNNNNNNNNNNNNNNNNNNNNNNNNNNNNNNNNNNNNNNNNNNNNNNNNNNNNNNNNNNNNNNNNNNNNNNNNNNNNNNNNNNNNNNNNNNNNNNNNNNNNNNNNNNNNNNNNNNNNNNNNNNNNNNNNNNNNNNNNNNNNNNNNNNNNNNNNNNNNNNNNNNNNNNNNNNNNNNNNNNNNNNNNNNNNNNNNNNNNNNNNNNNNNNNNNNNNNNNNNNNNNNNNNNNNNNNNNNNNNNNNNNNNNNNNNNNNNNNNNNNNNNNNNNNNNNNNNNNNNNNNNNNNNNNNNNNNNNNNNNNNNNNNNNNNNNNNNNNNNNNNNNNNNNNNNNNNNNNNNNNNNNNNNNNNNNNNNNNNNNNNNNNNNNNNNNNNNNNNNNNNNNNNNNNNNNNNNNNNGCUUCCCCGCGUUCACCGGCCGCCGCCUCCCGCGCCCUGCCUGCGCCCCGCCGCCACCGAGCUCCGCGCCGCCGCGCGUUCGCCGCCCGCCGUGCCACGCCCGUGCCUCCCGGCCGGAGCCCGCUCCUCCUCGUCGCCCUCGUCGCCGGGAGCUCUCCGGCGAGCCCCCUAGCUUCGGCCACCGCCUCUUCUUCCUCUCCGGUGGGAACUCCGGCGACCUCCCCAACGAACCUCGAACCGCGUGCCAGAUCCAGAUCUGGAAAACCCUAGGUUGACCCCGUUUUUCCCUAAGUCACUAACAUUUUCACCUCAUGUUCUUUGCAUCAUAACUCCGCAUCCGUAGCUCCGUUUUGGGCGUGCAAUAUAUCAAAAUGUUCAUCUAGAUGUGCUCUUCUUUUUAUUCCAUUGUGCCAUGCUUGUUUGAGUCCAUCUUGAUGCCCAAAUAGUUGAUGCAAGAGUGCUAUAAAAUGUUAGGUGCUGAUUCUUAACAGAUCUUGAGCAUUUGUCAUUUUUGCCAUGAUUAUUGUGUGCUGCAUAUGGGCAUGAGCUCUACAUGUGUUUUGGGCUAUGCCAUGCCAUGUUUACAGGGGUGUAUGCCAUGUAUUUUGGUAUCAAUGUGGUGACUAGCACAUGCAUGCAAAGUAGGUUUCGUAAUAUUGCUGAUUUCAGGGACUUAGAAUUUCACUAAGUCAUUUCCCUGCUGUUAUUUUAAUGCCAUGUAUUCAUGUUGCUUCAGCGAGAUCCAUGCUUCGUUUGAGUAUGUUCAGUAAGGAUGAUUUUGACAUAUGGUUGUGCUCUAUCCAUCCAUGUCCCUGUUUGCAUUUAUGGAGUGCCCUAGCAUGACUCAAUCUUGCUCUACUUUUGCUAUAAAAUGUUCCUGGCAGAUUGUUUACGUGUUAAUCAAUUUUGCCAAGGUUGUUGUAGUUGAUCAAUGCAUUCUAUAAGUUUGUUCUUGCUUUGGUUAGCUUGGUGAACAUGUCGUCUUGCUGGCAGUAUGCUUAGCUUGUCAUGCAAUGCCUUGUGAUGAGUGCAUCGAGCUCGCAAACAUGCCUUCAUAAUUCUGUUGAUACCAUGUCCAGUUUUCUGCCAAGUCUGAAUCUGUUAAUGAAACUUGCUAUGUUUAUAUGGGUGCCAUCAUAUCUUCUGAUCCUUUUUCGCUUAUGGUCAGUAAGGGACUUUUUUUAUAUGCUUUGCGUAGAUUCAUGCCAUGCCUUUGUUUGCCAUGUUAUGUUCCUAUAGCAUGUUGUUAUCUUGCUCUAAACAUUGCUUCCUGAUGUGAAUUCCUGACAUGUUAUUUCCACUAAGUCUGUGAAGCUGACAUCUUUUGCACUUUUGCCAUGCUUGUUUGAACCUGCUAUUGUGUGAUUUAGCCGUAGCUCAGUGUUCAUAUUUUGUCAAGCAUCUCGAGUAGAUCACUGCCAUGUGCUUUGUUGCUAUGUUGGAGUGCAGUAGCUUAGUUGCUUGUUGCAUUCUAGAUGGCAUUGUGUUGUUAAUCGCAGAAGUGUGCCAUCAUUGUUUUGCUUGCCAUUUGCAAACCGUGCAUCCGAUUCCGGUGAUCUUUAUAUCGAUUUUGACCGAAAUCAACUCCAGCGGCGCACUUGGUUUGCCAAGUUGAGGCCUGGUUCAAUCUUUUCCUUCCGGAGCAAGCGUAUGCAUUGGAUAUAACAUCCCGCAUAUCAUGCCAUAUUUUGCGUCAUGUUGCUAGCGCAUUGCACCGUGGUUGAUUAUGGUUUCCUUUGCUUGUGUUGCUUUGGGUAGAGCCGGGAGACGAGUUCGUGGUCGAGGAACCCGUUGAGUAUGCUUACGAGGACCAGGCUUUCGUCAACCCGGAGAACUUUGCAGGCAAGAUGACCAUACCCUCGAAAUCACUUCUAUCUUUGAUUGUUAGUUGCUCGCUCUUUUGCUAUGCCGCGAUACCUACCACUUGCUAUAUCAUGCUUCCCAUAUUGCCAUGUCAAGCCUCUAACCCACAUUUUCCUAGAAAACCGUUGUUUGGCUAUGUUACCACUUUGCUCAGCCCCUCUUAUAGCGUUGCUAGUUGCAGGUGAAGAUGGAGUUUGUUCCUUGUUGGAACAUGUUUAUUGUUGGGAUAUCAUUAUUAUAUCUUGUUUACUUUAAUGCACCUAUAUACUUGGUAAAGGGUGGAAGGCUCGGCCUUAUGCCCGGUGUUUUGUUCCACUCUUGCCGCCCUAGUUUCCAUCAUACCGGUGUUAUGUUCCUUGAUUUUGCGUUCCUUACGCGGUUGGGUUAUAAUGGGAACCCCUUGACAGUUCGCCUUGAAUAAAGCUCCUCCAGCAAGGCCCGACCUUGGUUUUACCAUUUGCCACCUAAGCCUUUUUCCCUUGGGUUUCAUGGACUCUAGGGUCAUCUUUAUUUUAAACCCCCGGGCCAGUGCUCCUUUGAGUGUUGGUCCAAACUAGAGCACCGUGCAGGGCCGUCCCUUGGCAACUUGGGUUACGUUGGCUCUUGUAUGCUUAGCUUAUCCGGUGUGCCCUGAGAACGAGAUAUGUGAAGCUCCUAUUGGGAUUUGUCGGCACAGCGGGUGGUCUUGCUGGUCUUGUUUUACCAUUUUCGAAAUGUCUUGUAACCGGGAUUCUGAGCCUGAUCGGGUCUUCCUGGGAGAAGGAGUAUCCUUCUUUGACCGUGAGAGCUUAUGAUGGGCUAAGUUGGGACACCCCUGCAGGGUUUUGAACUUUCGAAAGCCGUUCCCGCGGUUAUGGGCAGAUGGGAUUUGUUAAUGUAUGGUUGUAGAGAACUUGAAACUUAACUUAACUUAACUAAAAUGAAUCAACCGCAUGUGUAGCCAUGAUGGUCUCUUUUCGGCGGAGUCCGAGAAGAGAAAACGGUCUCGUGUUAUGCUUGAACGUAAGUAGUUUCAGGAUCAUUUCUUGAUCUUACGACCGUGCUUUGCUUCUCUUCUCGCUCUCAUUUGCAUAAGUUAGCCACCAUAUAUGCUAGUGCUUGCUGCAGCUCCACCUCACUACCUUUUCCGACCCAUAAGCUUAAAUAGUCUUGAUCACGAGGGUGUGAGAUUGCUAAGUCCCUGUGACUCACAGAUUACUUCCAAAACUAGAUGCAAGUGUCGAUGAUGCCAGUGUAAGGGACGUGACCGAACUCAAGUGGGAGUUCGACGAGGAUUCAGGACCUUACUAUGUUUCCUUUCCGGACGAUCAACAAUAGAGCCCAGUAGGGGUGAUCGGGGAUCUAUGCAUUUGGGAUUGUCUUUAUUUUGGUUCCGUAGUUGGACCUUGAUUGUAUGUGGAUGUUGUAAUGCUAUAUUUAUGUAUUGUGUGAAGUGGCGAUUGUAAGCCAACUCUUUAUCCCUUUCUUAUUCAGUACAUGUGAUGUGUAAAGAUUACCCCUCUUGCGACAUGCCUACUAUGCGGUUAUGCCUCUAAGUCGUGCUCCGACACGUGGGAGAUAUAGCCACAUCGUGUGUGUUACAUUUGAGGACACCAAAAGUAUGAAACAAUUGCUUGGCUUGUCAUCGGCGUUGUGCAUGAUUUGAGUAUUUUGUGUGAUGAAGAUGGAUCAUAGCCACACUAUAUGAUUUUGUAGGGAUACCUUUAUUUGGCCAUGUUAUUUUGAGAAGACAUGAUUGCUUAUUAGUAUGCUUGAAGUAUUAUUGUUUUAUGUCAAUAUUAAACUUUUGUUUUGAAUCUUAUGGAUAUGAACAUUCAUGCCACAAUAAAGAGAGGAUUACAUUGAUAAAUAUGUUAGGUAGCAUUCCACAUCAAAAAUUCUGUUUUUAUUAUUUACCUACUCGAGGACGAGCAGGAAUUAAGCUUGGGGAUGCUUGAUACGUCUCCAAUGUAUCUAUAAUUUUUGAUUGUCCCAUGCUAUUAUAUUAUCCAUCUUGGAUGUUCUAUAUGUAUUUAUAUGCUAUUUUAUAUUAUUUUUGGUACUAACCUAUUAACCUAGAGCCAAGUGCCAGUUUCUGUUUUUUUCCUUGCUUUUGAGUUUUGCAGAAAAGGAAUAUCAAAUAGAGUCCAAAUGAGAUGAAAAUUUACGGUGAUUUUUGAUGGACCAGAAGAAGCCCUCGAAGCACAAGAGUUGGGCCAGAAGAGUCCCGAGUCAACAACAAGGGUGGAGGGCACACCCCCCUACCUUGUCACUGCCUCGUGGACCCCCCUGACUUGAAACCGACGCCCAAAAUUCCUAUAAAUCCAGAAACCCCUAGAAACAAACCUAGAUCGGGAGUUCCGCCGCCGCAAGCCUCUGUAGCCACGAAAAACCAAUCGGAAGCCCGUUCCGGCACACUGCCAGAGGGGGAAACCAUCACCGGUGGCCAUCUUCAUCAUCCCGGCGGUCUCCAUGACGAGGAGGGGGUAGUUCACCCUCCGGGCCGAGGGUAUGUACCGGUAGGUAUGUGUUUGAUCUCCCUCUCUCUCGCGCGUUCCUGAUUUGGCACGAUCUUGAUGUACCGCGAGCUUUGUUAUUAUAGUUAGAUUAUAUGAUGUUUCUCCCCCUCCAUCUUCUUGUGAUGAAUUGAGUUUUACCUUUGAGGUUUCACUAUUAUUGGAUUGAAUACUAUUAUGGAUUUGAGAAAACUUGAUGUAUGUCUUGUGUGGGAUACCUGUGGUGACAAUGGGGUGUUCUAUUGAUUCACUUGAUGUAUGUUUUGGCAGUCAACUCACGGAUUCCCGAGGUUACAUUGGGGUAAUCUAUGCAUAGGGGUUGAUGCAUGUUUUCAUCCUUGUUUCUCCGGUAUAAAUCUUGGGGCACUCUUUGAGGUUCUUUUUGUUGGAUUGAAUAAUAUGAUUCUGAAGUUGUUUGAUGCAUAUCGUAUAAUUGACACACAGAUACUUGUGGUGACAUUGGAGUAUCUAGGUGACAUUAGGGUUGAUUGAUGUGUGUCAUAUGGUGUUAUUUUACUACGAACUCUAGGGCUGUUUGUGACACUUAUAGGAAUAGCUCAAUGGAUUGAUCAGAAAGAAUAACUUUGAGGUGGUUUUGUACCCUACAAGGAAUUUCAUCUUAUGUUCUCCGUGAUAGGAACUUUGGAGUGACUUUUGUCGCACAUUGAGGGAUCUUUAUAUGAUCUAAUUAUGUUAUCAUUGUUGAGAGAACUUGCACUAGUGAAAGUAUGAACCCUAGGCCUUGUUUUCAAGCAUUUCAAUACCAUUUUCGCUCACUUUUCUUACUAGUUACCUUGCUGUUUUUAUAUUUUCAGAUUACAAAAACCUAUAUCUACUAUCCAUAUUACACUUGUAUCACCAUCUCUUCUCCGAACUAGUGCAUCUAUACAAUUUACCAUUGUAUUGGGUGUGUUGGGGACACAAGAGACUCUUUGUUAUUUGGUUGCAGGGUUGUUUGAGGGAGACCAUCUUCAUCCUAUGCCUCCCACGAAUUGAUAAACCUGAGGUCAUCCACUUGAGGGAAAUUUGCUACUUUCCUACAAAACUCUGCGCUUGGAGGCCCAACACGAGUCUACAAGAAGAAGGUUGCAUAGUAGACAUCAACACAUCUUAAUGAAGAGAGAAGAUAAGAUUCAAGAUUGAUCAAGACUAAGUACAAAGAGUGAUUCAAGUUGAUGAAUACACAAAGCAUAGAAUUUAUACCGAGUGGGAUCAAGUGAUAUCAUGGUAUGGCAAGCAUUGUCUAUUGUGCUUUGUGUACUAAACCAUGAACUUUGUGAGGUUUCUUUAUGGGGUUAGGUAUGUUUCCAUGGGUUAGGAUGACAUUAAGUGGCGAUUGUCAUCAAGCUUGUGUUGUGCAAGUUCAAAUGGAGCAUGAUGAAGAGAUCACAUGCUUGAAGCCUGCCGUCCAUUGUGGUGAAAAUGGACAUGUGAAGAUGUGCCGAAGAGAGGUCUACGCAUAGUGUAGUAUGGGUGAGAAAUCUACUAGUCUUCAUCGAGUCAACGCAAUCAAGAAAGGUGGUCCAACUUGAGAAGGCAAGAUCGUCAUCAUCUAGCUCAAGUGGAUUAUGUGCAAGCAAAGGUAUGUACUUUUUAGGUUCUCUAUUUUAUCAGUUUCAUGGGGUUAGUUGGGAGAUCGGGUUAUAGGAUUGAUUACCGUACUAUCGAGGGGGGCUCUCAAUUGAGUAGCAUGAUUGUAUCAUUCAUAGAUAACUCAAACCAUUGCAUCCUUGGCAUCAUAUUUCUUGGUUCUUGUUUGGCUUUUCUCCUUGUGACUUUUGGAGCUUGUGGUCAUCUUCACGACGAGCUCAAGUACAUUGAAAACGGAUUUCAUAUGCACCAUCUAUUAUAUUUUCGAUGUCGGAGUUUUGCCGGUUCCUCACCGAUGGAGGUUUCACACCUCUAUAUCAUUGGCAUGUUACUCUUGUCGUUAGCUUUCCAUCAAGCUUGAGUUCAUCUAAAAUCAUAGUUCAUUUGCAAAAGUUGUGGUAGUUUUGGUCUUACUUGUUUUUAUCUAUUGUGCAUUGGACUUUUGUUUGAGGCCAAGCAAUAGUACCGCUGGUACAGACGGUAGUACCGCUUAGGUGGUACUUCCGCUGGUCAGUACCGUGGCUAGUGUCGCUUGGUGUUGAGCCUUUUGUUGCUCCCUCUGUCCCACAACAUUUCGCGACUGUACCACUUACUACCCAUGGUAGUACCGCUUAGGCGGUACCUCUAUAGGUUACUACCACAACUACUUCCGCUUGUGCUGAAGUCGUCUGUAUGCCCUCUGACAAUUUGCAGUAGUACCACUAGCACUAACAGUAGUACCGCUUCGUGUUGUACUUCCGCUCUGGUGCGGUGCUAACUAUCACUGGCUUCUCUUGCCCCCAUGAAAAUUCAUGGUACUACCGCUUGACGUAGGCGGUAGUACCACUCGGGCAUAACUAUCACUCUACUACCUCGCUGGUAGUCGUGGGUCAUGCUAAAACUGCCAUGCCAAGCGGCAGUACCGCUCCUCUGAUCGGUAGUACCGCUUAAGGCAUAGCUAGUGCAUAACGGUUGGAUUCUUGGGGCACUAUAUAAGGGGGUCUUCUUCCCCAUUGCCCCAACGGUUCUUUGCAAGCUUUCUCCUCCAAUGUUGACCUCCAAAAAGCUUUGCUUUCUCGCAAUUCUGCCUAUGAUUCUUGCAUCUUUUUGAGGGAAAAUAAAGAGGAGAUCUAGAUCUACAUUUCCACCAAUCCAUCUCUCCACUAAGUGAGGGAAACCCUUUGGAUCUAGAUCUUGGAGUUGUUUGUGUUCUCUUCUUCGUCCUUCAUCUCAUAUUCCUCCAUAGCAUUAGUUGUGGUGGUGGGAUUUAGGAGAGAAGGACCUAAGCACUUGGUGUGCUCUUGCCAUUGCAUUUGGUGCAUAGGUUUGAGUUCUCCACGGUGAUACAUGGAAGUGAAAGUUGAGAAGCUUAUUACUCUUGGGUGUUUGGACACCCUAGAGCUUGUGUGUCUUGAGUGCUUGGGUGCCCUAGACGGUUGGUCGUGUCAUAGAACUCACUCAUUGUGGUGUAAAGCUCUGGGCAAGCUUUGGGGUCUCCAAUUAAUUGUGGAGUUGUCCCGAGCAAUUUGUAUGGGUUAGGUGACUGCCCCCAGGGGUUGCCAAUUGUACGGGUUCGGUGACCACCCCCAAGGAUUGCCAAUUAUAUGAAUUCAUGACCGCCCUCAAGGGCCCCUUAGUGGAAUCAUGACAUCUUGCAUUGUGCAAGGGUGUGUGGAGAAUACGGUGUGAUGUGGAGCAUCCUUCCAUCAUCUCCAUGGACUCUACACUAACACAUCAAGCACCACGUGGACCUAUGACAAGAGCUCGAGCAUGUGAUACGUCCAUUUUGCAUCAUGUUUUCCUACUAUUAUUUAUAUUGUUUUUAGUCAAUAUAACACUUUAUGGCGUAAUUAUAAUGCAUUCUCUAUCAUACUAUGCAAGGUUUACACAAAGAGGGAGAAUACCGGCAUUUGGAAUUAUGGACCUGAAAAAGCUAUGUCAGAGAUACCUAUUCUGCACAUCUCCAAACGACCUGAAAUUUUACGAAGAUUUAUUUUGGAAUAUAUAAAAAAUACUGGAGAAAAGAAAUACUGGAGGAGGCCACCCAGGUUCCCACUAGGCACCAAGGCGCGCCCACCCCCAGGCGCGCCCUGGUGGGUAGUAGGCUCCCUGGCCCACAUCCAGUGCCCAUCUUCAGGUACAUAAGGUCUUUUGACCUAGAAAAAAAA
rnacentral:lncRNA from 1 species